AGUGCAAAGUGUUCAAAAAUCCUGAAAAUUGGGAUUUUCUCGCCUUUUAUAAAGGUCCAAGACGAACCCCAGCCGUCAGAUCAAAUCUCAGUCAAUCCGAGCCCUCCAUUUCAGAUCCAAUCCGAGGCGUUGAAUUCAAACAGUUUUUACAUCCUGCGCCUCAGAUUUAUGCGUGCCCCCCACGCACCUCUCCAACGCGUCUGCUUCUAGAAAUGCCAGCUGCCCUCAUAAUUGCAUUUUUAAUUCAACGGCAGCAGUGCCUUGGAAGUCGUAACGGUUUAGCCACCUUUUCCUCGAAAACAAGCACAAAACAUCAAAUCAUUGGCACAACAACCAACGCACAAUCAUUACCAUUGGACCUCGGCAAGCCUUGCAGGUUCGGUUUCCUCAACCACCUCGGCUUCUCUCCUCACCAUUCAGCAAUCAAGCCUCGCAGGUUCGGUUUAUUCAACCACCUCGGCUUCUUCAUCACUCAUCCGCGGCAACACUUCUCAAACCCCAACCAUGAUAUAAAUAUCUAUACUUGGACUUGGGGGACUAUUAUUUGGGGUUCAAAAAUUCUUUCAACUUCUACUCCAUUAAAGUCCUCGCAUUACAUUAAUGAUUAUACUUGGACUUGGGGGACUAUUGUUGCGUGUUGUCACACCUAUCAUACCCACCCGGGCCAAUGGCCCACUCAUCCUGAUCCACGUGGUGUUCCUGCCGAGGUGGCACACAUUGCCGAGGUGGGUUACAUCCGAACUGCUUCGAACCGAGGUCCAUCCACCGAGGCAACACGAUCCGACGUACUCUGCCGAAGUCCAACUACCGAGCCCCAUGACCCAAAGCAUGGAACCUGUUGAAUUUAGCUGAGGUCCUCAGGUGGAGGUAUUUGUCAAAUGGUCGAAACCCCGAAGCUGAUGCGCGAGCCUCCUAACCACAAGGAGUUUCCUCCACUAUCACUUCUCCCAAGAGAUCGCCUGCUCAGAGAUCUUAUUCGAAUGACUGAUGAAACGUUUGUCACAAGUAUAAAGGUCAAGUCUUGUCGCUAGUAUAAAGGACCUGCGCAAGCAAUAAAUGCGCCGUAAGCUAGCAAGUCAAGUCCCAUGCCUAAGAACAGACGUUUGAACUAAGGAGAUGAGGUCACGUGCCACUUCAUCCAAGGGCUCCCAUUUCGUAUGUAUCACUAUAAAUACUCACAUUGUGUAAUGUCAAAGGCCAAUGCAAGAAUCAAUACUAAAGACUACAUUUACUCAACUCUCUCUCAUUGACUUGCGAUACACAAAUCGAGUUUAUACACCUUCACAUAUAUAUUUACGAGCACCAGUUGGUAAUUAUUGUACAAUCGGAUUACGAACAACCCGCCGGAUUUCGAAUGUCACCGUCCCGCGUCGUUGGGCUACUCCCACGCCCCUUUAAACCGCUCGUUUUAGACCAUCCACGUGUCUUAGCGUGUUGGACAUUCGCCCACGCAAGCGCGGGUGGGACCGGUUAGCGCACUUUUUGGGGUCAACAUCCAUAACUAAAUUUAUUUAUUUUUUUGGAAAUUUACAAAAUACAACUUUUAUUUAGAGUGUAUAUGAGUUUGCCUGUUAUAUUUUAAAUUUUGCAUUUUACAUGCUAAAUUUUGCUUAGUGGUAAUUAAAAAAAAAAUUGCAAUUUAUACCAUUAUAAAUAGUUAAACAAACCAAAAUAUCCCUAUUUUAAAAUAAAAAAUAACAUCCUAUUCAUUACAUUAAGUGACGCUUUGGUCUUUUCAUAUCUUUUUCAUAUUUUUGAAAAUUUUAUUUUACAAAUUGUCAACUUUUCACACUGCAUUUUGAAAUUUAUCCAAUUUUAAAAACAUUUGUAAAAAUGGCUACUUCUCAAAAAAUUUUGUUUAAACUACCAUUACAUUCUUUUCUAAAUUACAAUUUUGUAUUGCCAUUUUGAAAAGUGAUUGGACAAAUUACAACAGACUGCAAACCUUUGGAGAGAGGGAGGGUGGGGGGUGAAUAAUAUAUUGAUGAACAAAAAUUUUUUAAAAGAAAAUACAUCAUUAAUACACACACACGGUGUGUAAAAUGUUAUUUAACCUUUAUCUGAUCUUCCAUUAUUUUUAAAUUACAUUUUCCACUUUCUUCUUUUUAAUCACGCAUUUCUCAAUAAAAUAAUAUUAUACGCAAGCUCGAAACUUUUCCUAUUUCUUAAUUACACAUUCUUCAUCAAUCUGCUAUUUUAAAAUGCAUUCUUAGCCAAAAUAAUAAUAAUGAUGAUGAUGAUGAAGAUGAGACUCAAACACGCGCUUAAUAUAAUAUAUAGGGUGUGAUGCAUUAUUUUCAAUUAAAGGUAUUUUAGUCUCCUUAACUGUUUAUAAUGGAAUUUGUGUAGAUUUUUUUGCCAGCAAAUGUUUUUUUUUUUGUUAAUAUCAAGAAAUAUAUAACAGGUAAAUGCAAAUUGCAGAAGUUUAUAAUUCUAUUCUAUUCCAUUAACACCAAUGAUAUUAGCAGUCAUUAGUUAUCAUCCAUACAUGACUACAUGAGUGCUCCAUUUAUAAAAGCUUUUUACCAUACAAAAGUUUCCUCACCCCACACACACCAGGAUCAACCAUCAAAAUCAAAAUAACAGAUUAUUUGACUUUGAUUUGAUCAAUACUUUGCUGAUAGUAUUGAUUCCCAGUUAAUAUCCCCUCGAACAUGUUGCACCAUAUCCAUCUGCUGUGUAUCGGACACCAUUUCUGAAACGCUCCACACCUUGACAGAUUUAUCAAGACUCCCACUAUACACAACCCAUUUCUGAUCGCCACCUGAGGAUUCUUUAUCCUUCUCCACCGUGAGACACUUGACCGGUCCGGUGUGCCCACUCAACACCGAGAGAAAAGUGUGAACCGCGGCCUCCUUCCUCCACACGCAUAUGGUUUUAUCAGCUGAGCCACUGACCACUAGAUUCCCGGCCGUGGCGAGACAGAGCACCGGCAGUUUGUGACCCCUGAGUAUUCCUCCGUGUGACAACUGCUUCUCGCGCUCCCAGAAGUUCACUAGUCCAUCUGAUGAGCCACUGUAGAGAACCGAACCCGACUUGUUGACGGCCAAUGCUGUGAUGGCACAUUCCUGACUCAAGAGUUUUUGCACCAAAACAUGCCUAAUAUAUCUACCAUUUUGUUCUCUUUUCCAUACCUUCACUGCCCCGUCAGCUGAUCCAGUAUAGACCACGCCGUCGAGGGUGGCAACCACCGAGUUGACAGCAUCAUCAUGGGCCUUGACAGAUUCAACACACUUUGAGCUGCUAACCCUCCAGACCUUGAACGUCCUGUCCCAUGAACCAGAGUACAGAAACUCUUGUUCUGGAUUCAUGCUCAUACAAGAAAUUGCAUCCGCGUGCUUUAUCCAUAGCGUGGUCCGUUUUCGCUUGACUUCCACAUAAUUUUUUGGCCUAAUGGAAGCUUUGAAAAUGUCAAAAAACAUGGGCAAAGUCCCUACACGUUUGUGAUUGCUGGGAUUCUUGGAACUGAUCUUCCAUACUCGAAUUUUUCCAUCUUGAUGACCAGUGAAAAUCUUGUCACCCGAUAUAAUAAUUGCCUUGACAAAGCCACUGUUAGAUUUGAAGGCAGAGAAUUCUUUCAUGUUCUUCCAAACACGAAUGUUUUUACUGUCUGAACCAGUGUAAAGAAUUCCAUUCUUGACAGAUAAGGAAUAUAUAUGGCCCUCUUUGCGAACAAACGAACCAAUUAAACCAUUUUGAGGCAAGUUUGUAGUCAGUACUGUCUCAUUGAAAUUUGACCAGGGAGAUUUCAUGAAAGGUGAAGUUGGGUUCCAUGGGGACAUCAUUGUUGGAGAGGCAUCCGCGCUUUGGCUGCAGAGGUCAUAGGCAGAGAAGGCGAAAUCCUCAUCAGUGGUGGUGAACACAUUAUGAACCAUGUUGUCUCUUCAGUCAGAUUCUGAAAACGUUGUCGAUCCUUUUCUUUCUUCUAUCAGCAAUCCAGGGGGGGGGGCGGCUUGCGAGUUUUUUUUUUAUUUUUAUUCCUUUCUUAAUACUGUUAUAUUGUGUUUGAAAAAAUUUCGUAGCAUAUCCAUGAAAAUCAAAUUUGAUUUCAAGAUCAAAAUGAAAAUGUUCUAAGCAGAAAAUGAAUUGGAGGGGGGAUUCCAUUUUUUGUUUUGGGAGACAGAAAAACUCAUUCAAUUAUGCAAUUGAUGUUUGCUAGUACUCGAAUAAUUUAAUUAUAUUUUGUUCAAGGCACGCAUAAUUUAUUUAGAGGCCAAUUUGUAGUUCUUGAAUGGUACGAGGAAGACAUACAACGAAUUUAGAGUCUUAUUUACCAUAAUAUGUAAGAGAAAUGGUCUAUUAGGUUCGGUGAAUGGCACACUAAUUAAUUGCUCCCCCAUCAUGUAUUUAUUCACUAAUUAAUUGGUAUGUUAUGUCAUCGAUAUUAUCAACUUAGCCUAUUAACUUAUGAUCACUAUAAAGAGAUAUUAGAGGAAAAUAAUGUUUUAAAUAAUGAUUUUUUGGAGAAUGUGUGAUUAAAAAUUAUGAUUUUUUUUUGGAUUUAUGUGAAAAUAUUUUAUUGUGUGAAUGUGUGGUAAAAAAUAAGUAUGGGAAAUAAAGAAUUUUGAAAUAAAGAUAGUCAAACAAAAACUUGAUGUGUUGGUCUUUUGUAGAUAUUAAAAUAGCAAAAAUAUUAUUUUUCGGUUUAUAACACCCUUUUUUGGCCGCAAGUUAUUAUUGGUAAUAUAUCAAUUUUUCUAAAAUUGUGUAUAGGAUCCACCUUUGGGUUAAGAAAAGUAUAUAAGAAUAUUCAUUUGGAGAACUUUCUCGAGAUAAUAAUCCAAAUGGUCAUUGAACUUUGUAAAAAGUUUUCAAGGGGUCACUAUACUUUAAAAAUCAUCCAAAUCAUCAUUGAACUUUACAAAAAGUUUUCAUGAGGUCAACGAACUUUAACAAUCACCUCAUUCAUUACUAAACUUUAUAAAAAAUUUCCACAGAAUCACCGGACUUUGUAAAAGGUUUUACAGGGGUCAUUGAAUUCGGUGACCCCUGGAAAACCUUUUGCAAAGUUAAAUGAUGAAUGAGGUUAUUUUUAAAUGUUAGUGACCUAGUGGAAAUCUUUUGCAAAGUUUAAUGACCAUUUGGAUUAUUAUCUUGAUUUUUCUCUAAGAUUAAUUGAUCAUUUAUAAAUUUAUCACAAUAAACAAUCCUAGGACUAUUUGAGAAAUGAUGUAUGGCCGGUCUUAUGGUCCACUAAUUGCAUCCUCACAAGGUCAGUGGUUGACAACAACAAUGCUACAAGUGACAAAAAAUAGAAUUGAUACAAGGUUUUGGUCCACCUACUAUAAAACAAUUCACAUUAAGUGUUUACUUCAAUAAUACCUUAAACGUCGCCAAUUCUAUUCCCUAGUAGCUAGGCAAAUAAUAGAAACCCAUAAUUCGUAUUUUAACGAAGAACACGUAUUUUUUGUCAAGUUCUAUUAGUAAACCACAAUUGAGGGAAAGAAUAGGAGACGAGUAUUGUGUAGUUAAGGUCAAUAACAUAAUAAUUGCAAUAUCGAGUAGUUAAGGCUCAAUUUCAAAGACGAGAGAACGCUUACAUAAAUGGCUUGUAGUUGAAGAAACAAAAAAUGUACAUAAUUUAGAUAUUUUCAACUUGCAAGAUGUGCAAAAAAAUUUUGGUGUCCUAAAAUGUCGAUACCCACACAACGGCCAAUAUGGUUUUCUCAACGAUUCUUUGCCAAAUAUAGAAAUUUGUAUUAACAGUAUUGUUAACUGUCCCAGGAGAAAUCGACACGUAGAAAAUGAUUUGAACCAGAAAGAAAUUCCACCGACCAAUUUUUGGUCUCUUUAUGAUGGCUAAAAUGGGUGCAAUCAUGCCAUUUGGAUGCUUACCAUAGUUGUACACUAAAAGUGUGAGAGCUCCUAUUACCAAUUUUCGUUCUCUCGCUAUAGUUUUUCGGAAUUAGGGUUUUCGAGUAUUUCCCAUUUCGUGUCGUAUUGUCCAUUCUCGUUUCUGUUUACAUAUAGCCCUUGUUCAAUUUCCAUUAUUUUUAAAAUACAUUUUUCUCUUCUUUUUUUUUUUUUUUUCCAACCACACAUCUUCAUUAAAAUAAUAUUACACCCAAACACAAAAUUUUUCCUUAUUUUUUAACCACAUAUUCUCCAUCAAUUUUUUAUUUCAAAAUACAUUUUACACCAAAAAUAGGGCUCAAACAGGCUCAUAGUCUAGAAUAAAUCGAUCGAAUUGUUUCACCCUGAAUUUGUAAUCCACAUGUUAAAAAAAUCAACAUCCAUAAUGGAACAGUUCACAUGGGAGGUGUAUAAAAAAUAAAUAAAUAAAUAAAAUAAAAAUACUUAGGGUUAAAUACACAAAUGGUAUAUGAACUUUACUUCUUGUUUCAUAAUCAUACAUGAUUUGGAAUUUGUUCAAUAACAACCUCCAGAAUUUUUUAUUUUUUAUUUUCACAAACACCUGCAGUUUUAUCUUUAGUUAUUAUUUAUUUUAUUAAUUUAUUCUGAGAAUUAAAUCAAUUUUUACUAUGAAAAUAAUGUUGACCUCGAUGAGGAGAGGAUGAGACAUUUUGGGAUUCUGUCAUUGAUCUCCACCAAGACGAUAUAAAAUUUGGAUUGGGUAUAGAGCAUCGCUACGAUAAAGGGAAUGAAGGAGAUUGCAUACAAUACGUCUUAUAUUUUCCAUGUGAUAAAGUGACAAAUCAAAUAGGAGGUCUAAGAUUCUUGAAAACCUGUGCUAAGAUAUCCAUAACACGCACUUGAAAUUUGGAAUAACAUUUAGGAAUAUUGAUGAAUUUAAGAAAUUCGACAGAAAAUAUGUGUGAAAUAUAGUGAAGCUCAAAUGCCCAAUAAAUGAGAAAGGUAGAGAUGUACGCCUUCAUAAAAAGUUCUACGAGAGUUAAUUUUGGAACAAAAUUAAAUUUUAUGGGAAACAAUUUUGACUCACAAAUAUCGAGUUUGUAAGGAUGAAAAACAAUUUUGUAAGUUUGAGGACUUUUUUGAAACAAUUUUUUUGAAAUAAGGAACCAUUCAGGUAGUUAUCUCAUCACAUGAUACAUGUUCACCAUUAUUGGUUUCAGAGAGAGAAAGAAGAGAACAAGGAAAGUCACAGAUUUCCUUUAGUCUUGUUGGAAUUGCAAUUGAGGGACUUCGGGCGAUUUACACUAAAGAGUUUAGGGCAUUUAGACUUUUAUUGUACACUUUGUCAUUGUUGUCAAUUUUGGGUAGUUAAUUAUCAACGUGCCAUGAGGUCACCAUUAUACCAUCACAUGGGAAACUACUGCACCUGCUUGAGGCUUAGCCUUCAUUUCGAAGAAUUUAUAAAUGGCUUAAUAAUUUUUAAAUAUAUAAAAAUGACUGGUUUAUAAUUAGAUAUUACUUGUAGAUCCAUUGAAAGCACGGGCGGACCUGGGGGGGUUUUAUAGGGGCAAUUGACCCUCUAGAUUUUUGGGGGGGGGGGGGGGGGGGUUUUUUUUUUUUUUUUUUUUUUUUUUUUUUUUUUUUUUUUUUUUUUUUUUAAGGGGGGGAAUUUUGCUUAGCUUUUUUUUUUUAUUAGAAGAUACCCUAUAAAUUUUAUUUUUGACCCCUUAACCCAAGUCGUCUGGGUCCGCCACUGAUUGGUAGCUGGAAAUAAAAAGUAAAGUUAGAUCAUUUAUAAAUGAUUUACAGUAAAUCUUUCUUUAGGAGUUAAAAUUAGUAAAAACAUAAAUAGUUGUAGUUUUAUCCAAAGUUUAUUGUAUCAACCCUUUAAGUUAGAAUUGAACCUUAACGACUGACUAAAAACUAUUAGAAUUUGACUUGAAAAAUUCUUCUGAAAGUUCUAAAUAUCCAACCCUUGAUUUUCUAUGGAACUGCAAAUCGACGUAUAUCUCAAAUUUUCAGUAUUUUUUUCUUCAAUAAAGAACUCUUGCAUGUGCAUGUGCAUCCAGCAGAGAAAGACUGAGCCAAAAUUUACUCCAAAUAUAAAACAAGAAUUUCUGAGAUAAUGCAUAGAGCAAGUGGAUAGUUACGCAUUUCGAAAGAUUGUAUGGUUUUCUUGUGAUAGUUGAGAUUAUAGCAUUCUUCAGGGUAAGUUUACAGGGACCCACAAACACACCUCUCAUUUGAAUCAUAUGGUAGACAUGCUUUCCUAGAAAAGGAGUGUGAAUAAUUUUAUUUUAUUUAUUUAUUUUUAUUUUUUUUAUAUGACGGGGAACCCGUAGCCGUCACCUUUCGGGUGCACAUUGAGUAAACUUUGAGCUGACGUAAUAGCCUGCAAACCACACUAAGCAAAUAAACCACACUAGACAAGUUCGGCGUGACAGACUCGACCGAAAAAGUGUCGAUAGGGGGAAUCGAACUCGAAACCAAAGGUCUCCGAACUCACGUACUCCACCAACUCGGCCACCUCAUAAGGGGUUCAAAAAGAGCGUGAAUAUUGAUUUCAUAUUUAAUGGACAAACCAACCGUUUGAAAUCCCCCCCCCCCCGGAAAAAAUGCAUUUUGGAACAGUGAUUUGAUGGAGAAUAUGAAGUUAAAAUAUAAAGAAAAAUUUAGAAUUAAAAAUAAGUGAAAAGAAAAUAUACUUUUAAGAAAAUGGAAAUCAAAUAAGGCUAUAUAUUUCAUAGAAAAAAGGUUAACUAAAAAGAAUCUAAUAUUUAAACCUUUGAUGCAAACUUUUUUGCAUUUUAAAUAGGGAAAAUUACAGCCACUAUACUAAACCUUUCAUUUAAUUUCAAACUAUAUCCAAACAUUUCAUUUGUAUCAUCAAAUGUAUCAAACUUUUCAAAAAUCCGCACUUAGAGUCCAAAUGAAUGGAAACCAUUGGUUUGACAAUUAGUUGACCAGAAAAUUGAACUUAACCAUAAUUUUGACUAGGUUUAAAAGAACAAAAUGGUAAUUUCACAUUUUUAACAUAAAACAUAAUAUAAUAUAUUGAUUAUUAAAUGAUACAAAAAAACAAAAAUCAAAACAAAUACCACCACCACCAUCACCUUCUUCCUCGAACCCCUUUACCACAUAAUAGCCACCCAUCCAACGCCAAUGCCACCGCCACACUAGCCACCAUCGAUCGUGCCAAUGAAGACCUCAUAUUCUCUCUUAACCUCAUAAUCAAUCCCAUCCCAUAUCUAGAAUUUUUUUUUUUUUUAAAUUCAUCUCUCAACCACAUAAUCGAUCACAUCAAAGAUCUAAAAUUUUUCAAUGGAGACCCAAAUCAUCAACAGUAACGCCUGGCCACAUUGAACAACUAGCAAAAUAGUGGUGGAUUGUAUUGUGUUUGUGACUGACAAGACAAAUGAAGUAGGUCUAUGAAUUAGUUGAUUUUUGUUAAUAUCUUUUUGGAACUUCUUUAGUUGAUUUCUGGUGAAUUAGUUGUGGGUUCUAGUUGUGGUGGUUCAAUAGGUGGUCAGUGGCGGAUCUAGGGGACGGCCAGCUAGGGCGGCCGGCCUAAGGGAUCCACCGGUAUAUAUAUAUAUAUAUAUAUAUUGUUUGUAAUACAUUAAAUUUUUACUUUAUAUUUCUCAUAAUUAAUUUUAUUUUCAAACAUCCCUUGUAGCUUGCUUGGUGAGAGUCAGUCAUAUCAUACUUCAAGUCUUGUGUUCGAAUCAUUGUUAAUGGAUUUGUUAUGUGUUAUUUUUAUUCUAUAAAUUUUACCAAAAUUUAAUAAAGGAGGGACAAUGAGGAUUUGAACCUGUGAUCUCAAGUAAGGGUUAUGGUAAACUUAACAAUUAUGGUACAUCUUGAAUUGUGUUAUUAAAUUUAACAAAAUGAUAUUUGUUAGAUUUUGAUUGUUUAAUGCAAACAAUUUUAAAUAUUCGAAUUCAUACUCUUCCUUUGAAUUAUACAAAAUUUGGCAAUAAUGUUAUUUGAUGAGUUCUAUUUAUUUUUAUAACAGAAUUAUAUAUAUUCAGUUUGAACAAAAUAAUUUUUAUAUUUAUACUUUAGGCCUUGUUCGAUUUCCUUUUUUUUUUAAUCUACAUUUUUCUUUUUUCUUUUCAUCCAUACGUUCUUCAAUUAAAUAAUAUUACACGUAAAUUCAAAAAUUUUCUUUAUUUUUUGUCACAUGUUCUCCAUCAAAUCACCAUUCCAAAAUGCAUUUUUUGUAAUAAUAAAAAAAAAGAUAUCAAAAGGACUUUUAAUAUUUUAUUGCGGCCAACGGUAAAUGGUCAACGGCAGCCCGUACUGACUCAAACUCCUGGAUUCGCCCCUGUAGGUGGUGAUAUUUUUGAGUUCAACCUGAAGUGGUAGUUCAACAGGUGGUGUUAGUGGGUUCUUGCUGUGACAGCUGGUGUUAGUGUUCAAUAGGUGGUGGUGUUACAGGUGAAUGGAAUGGCAUGAUGAGAUGCUAUUGAUGAGACGGAGAGCUGGGAUUUAGGACGGUGCGUUAUUUCGACAGUGGAGAGGCAAUAAGUUGCAGGUGACGAAGAUGGAAAAUAUAGUGUAUGGAUCCAACCCAUGGUGUUUUGGGUUUGAUUUUGGUAUAGAAAUUUGAGUGAGGCAACAAAAAUGGUUAAGUUGGUGGUGUGAAUAGCGAGAUUCUGGUGGUGCCACCUCCUUAGAGGCAAUUGUGGUGUCGAAGUCGUGGAGGAGGCGAUGGUGAUGGUGGAGGCGUUGUUAGGUGGGGGACGUUGACUUUGGGGUAAGGGGUUGGAAUGGGGUCGAUGGUGGAGGUGAGUGGUUUUGGUUCUUAUUUUUUUGUUUUUUGUUUUUUGAUUUAUUAGUUGAUAUAAUUUUAUUUUUUUUCGAAAAAUGUAAAUUUACCACAUUACCUUUUUAUAAGUUGGUCAAAAUAAGUCAAACUCUAAUUCUCUAGUCAACUAAAGGUCAAACCAACGAUUUUCAUUCAUUUGGAUUCUAAGUGCGAAUUUUUGAAAGGUAUGAUACCCAUGACGUACAAAUGAAAGGUUUGAAUAAAAUCUGCAAAUAAAUGAAAGAUUUAGUACAGUGGUGCAAUUUUUCCUUUUUAAUAUUAGGAUAACUUUACUUUAAUUUUCUGAACUCGGUAUACGGGUAUAGUAUAAAUAUAAAUAGCAUAAAUUUUUUUUUUAAAUAGAGAAACGGUACAAAAUCAAGCAAUAUAGAGUAUUUAAUGAAUUUUCAACUUGCUUUAAUGAAUUAUUUUGAAAUAUUACUUUAGAUUGAUUUGUUAUUUAUUUGUCAGUCAUAUUUAAUAAUUUUAUUAAUUAUAUAAUAAUAUUUACAGAUAAUCGUAGCAAAAGCUCCAAACAUUUGAAACACUAGCAGACUUUUUUCAAAAUUUUCAUUUGUUGUAGUUAUCAGCCCUAACUUUUCAAAUCGUUGCAUGUAAGGCUCUUUUGGACAGUUUUCCAUCCAAAAUGUCAUUAGCUGACCACCAAAAUUAGGUUUUACCACAUUUUAAUCAAUUUUAAAAUGACAAAAUAGUAACUUCCUAUUUAUCACGUUAAACAAUUAAAAAACAUAAAUUAAAAAAUAAAUAAAAGAAAAACAUAAAAGUCUCUCUUCUUUAUCCAUCCCCACUCCAAACCACCCCAAAAAUCAAAAUCACACAACCAUCUUCAACUGUUAGCCUCGACGCCGAUGCUGACGCCUCCUCCAUGGAUCUAUAAAUGGUGAGUGGGUUAAUGAAUUUUUCAAAUAGAUUGGCUGGAAGAAGAUUAAACAAGAAUUAAAUAAGUUGUUUGGUGAGGAUUAAAAUUAAAUUUUUAGUAGAUUUUGAUAGAAGUUUUUGAAAUGUGUGGUUGAAAAGUUAUGGGACCUAUGAAAGAUGUGGUUAAUAUUGAUUGUUUAACUAAGUCAAACAGGGGCAAAAGCUUUCAAUUGUUCAAGCUUGUCUAAAAAAAAUUUUCGAAUCAACUCCAGGAUCUCCAAAAGAAAAAUGGCUUCUUGUGGUAAAGGGAGGAGGUCAAAUGGUCAAGAAGAGGAAAGCUUGCUACAUGUAUAUGGUGGUGACGUGGGAAACCAAGAAGGUGAUGAAAGAGGAGCCAUGGUGAGGAAGUGAGAAGUAUUAACCAGAAUGUUGGUGCUGAAGAGGGAAUCCUCCAGCAAGAAGUUGGUGGUGGACUAUUGGGGAUGCAUAAGGUGGUGCAGGGAUGAAUGGAGGACUAGCUUAGGGUGUCACCACCGACAUUGGGCUGCACAAUAACAUGGAAGAUGAAGCUAGAAUUAUUUCGAAUUUGUUAUGACUUCCUGCGCAAAAUCAAGGGGCAGUCUCUUGCCAGAAAGUCAUGCUAAAGUUCACUACUUUUGUGUUUUUGAUGGUCAUGAUGGUUCUUCCAAUUAGAUGGAAUCAUGGCGGCAAGUGGUGGUGGUGGCGGGUUUAUUUUUCUGGUUUUAGGUUGAGGGGUUGGGGGAUGGGAGAGAAAUAGUUACAUUUUUUUUUUAUUGGUGGUUUUUGAUUUAAUUUUUCUAUUGUUUAAUGUGAUAAAUAAAAAGUUACCAUUUUGUCCUUUUAAAAUAGAUUAAAAUGGGAUCAAACCUAAUUUUAAUGGUCAACUAAUGGCAUUUUAGAUGAAAAUUGUUCAAAUGGGCUUUACAUACAAUGAUUGGAAAAGUUAGGGACGAUUGCAAUAAAUAAAAGAUUUGAGGAAAGUCUAUUAGUGUUUCAAAUGUUUGGAACUUCUGUUGCAAUUAUUCCUAAUAUUUAUAACGGUAUUGAGAUUUUCAACUGGCUUUAAACUAUUUUAUAAUAUUCGUUUAUUUUGAUUUUUUAAUUAUUUGUCGAACAUAUUUGGGAAAAAAUAUCAUAUUCAAUAAUUUUUCUAAAUUUUAUACUAAGAUUUAUAAUGGUAUUUUUUAACGAAAAUGAUUUCAUAUAAAUGAAAAGUAUAUCUUGAGAAAUAAGAAAAGAAAAAUAUAAAGUUUAAUAACCAUUUUAAAAUAGAAUAGAAGGGUAAAAUGAGAAACGCAUAUUUUACUUUUAGUUGAGAGAGAAAAUCUGUCAUAAAAAAAAUAAAUUUCAAGUGAAUUUUAUAUAUGGACUCAAAAUAAUUGUAUAUAUGGACUCAAAAGAAUAUGCUAGUUGCUGUACCUUCUUUUAAUAAAAUAAUUUUAUAUAUGGACUCAAAAAAAUUUUAAAAUUUUUUAAUCACAUAUUCUUAAAAAAAAGAUUUAUUAUUCACAAAUUCUUUUCUAUAAAAAUCUGUACUAAACAGCUCGAUGUCUAUCAUUAAUCUACUGUAUAGCUUCGGAUCGGCCAUGUUUAUUUUUAGGCAAACAGCGAUGAAUGAUCUUGAACACUGCCAAGUCCCCCCAACAUAAUAAAUCCAUGGAGAACAAAUGACCAGUUGAAAGAAUAUUUAACAAUUUUCAUCUAAUGCCAACACCUAAAUUAAAUGUUUGGAGAUUUAAAAAGAAUAAAACUGAUAUUAAAUUCCAAUGACGCUAACCAGCCAGCUAGCAUUACUCGUCAGAAAAUAAAAAUAACGGAGAUCCACUUGCUAUAAAUCAGAAAGUUUGAUGAACCCCAUCACCAAUUUCCCCUGAAUAAAUUAAUUAGUAGAUGUGACAAGAUUCCAUCUAAAACAAGAUGAUAAGAUCGAAUGGCAUGAAGCAACAGAAAUGUUUCAAAGUCUUCAUGGGAAUCCACAAUCCUACGAGAAUAAUGUACUGCCCAAGCUCUCUAUAUAGGAACCCUUAUCCUUCUUAAUUGAUUCUCACAAGUAACACCUUUAAUUUCCAUUUUCAUUCAACCACAAUUAUGUGUUCUUCAGUAUCAGGAAAAGAUCUGUCUAGUAUUUCAGAAACCGAAAACAAGAUAGAAGAUGACAUUGAGGAUGAAGAAAAUGAAAACCAUAUCAUCACCACUCAUUUGUACUUGAAACCAGCACACACACGUGAUACACUUGACAAGAAUGUCGUUCUCCGUCGCAUUCGCCACCACCGCAAGCGUGUCAACAAGGUUAAGUCUGCCGUUCAAGGUCUUUUCGGCUCUCCCUUCUCUUCAAACACCAAUAAGACUCCAAACACUCAAAUCAAAUGGGAAGAUGAUCCUUUUGUCAGAAAAUUGGAGCAAGUAUUGGAUUGAUUGAUUCAAUUGAGGAGUUACCCAAGAUCGUAUUAACCUGUAAAAGGUUCUAUUGGGUCCAAUUUGUUGCAAUGACAUCAUUUCUCCCGGCAAUUGGAGGCGAAUUCAUCUCGGGUGCAAAGUGAGUGUUUUUCCCUUUUUUUGAGCCUGAAAAUUUGAAUUGAUGCAUUAUUUGAUGAUAUGAAACCAUGGUUAGAUGUAGCUUGGAGUGUAGAAGAGACUAAUAUAUGUUGAUUGUGAUGGGUGUUAUUGAAAGGAUUGUUGCCGCUAAGUUUUUUGGCCGCGAAUGUUGAGAGGUUUGGUGGUUAUCAAGGUGCGUUUGGGGGCGACGUGAGGCGGGGAUGGAGGUCGGGACUGUUGGGCGGGUGAGGCUGAGACCGGUGGUGGUGACAACCAGCGGCCUAGGGGGCAGGAUCGUGGCCGACGGUGGCGGUGGACGUGGUUUUGAAGUUUGAACUCAGUUCAAUUUCUUCCUUCUUCUUUUUUUUUUAUUUUUUGUUUUUUGUAUAUAUAACAUGUUUUAAUUCAAGAAAAUCCACGUGUAUAGCAUUUGCUUGACUUGGCACACAUCAGCAAGCCGUGUCAGCAUUUGGUCAAUUUUUAAAUGGAAUUUGAGCUCGAUGACUAAGGAGAUUACAAAAUGGAAGUUUAGUAAUGAAUGAGAUGGUUUUUAAAGUUCAGUAACCUCGUAGAAAUCUGGUGUAAAGUUCAGUAACUAUUUGGACAAUUCACUCCCCUUUUCAUGUUUCGGUGAUAUUAUGUUUCAUAUCAGUUCAAUAACACGAAAUGAUUAAAUAAUAUGUUUGUUAUUUAAUUUACUUGGAAUUGAUUAGCAAUAAUGUAUAUUAAUCACUUACAUCACUGGUUUUCGAUCCCUCUUUUAAUUUUAAAAUUUCCAAGUGAAUAAGUCACUUUUGUAAAGCCUUAUCUCUAAUGGAAUUUCACCUUUUUGACUAUUACUAUAUGCUGAAAAUGGAAUAUCACUUUUUUUUUUCUUUCACUACUUUUGAGUUAGCAUUUCAUGAUAAUUCAAGAUCUAGCAAGCUACUUCCACUUGAGUUCCGUUAGACAAGGAAAGGGAAUGUAGGUAAGGGGAAGGUUUGCAAGUUGAUGCUCCAUAAUCCGUGUUGAAAGAUAUCAAGUACGAAUUUAUUUUAUUUUAUUAUUAUUUUUUUUUAAUUCAUAUCACCACAAAGAAAGAGGAAUACGGUUUGACCAGCAAAAAGUUUGCCCAUCUAACGACACAUAGGAGAUUAUCAUAUAUUCCCUACUUACGAAUAAAAGAACCGAGCUCCACAUACAGGAGCUCAAUUCACAAGGGUCAUACAAACCCCUCACUGUAGGAGGGUCUGACCCCAUAGCAAUUAAAGAAAAAAGGUGGGGCCCGCCCCAUCUUCUCUCACAUUUGGCAGGGCCUGUGAAUACCUCAAGCUUUUUUCCGAAUAAAAUGACAUGCUUUCACAUAAAAUAAAAACGAAUGACAGCCAAUGAUUGAAAUGACAAUCAUAUGCAGAUUAUCUCCGGCUGGGGUGUACAUGGGGAGUGGCUUGGGGGUCAUCCCGACUUUUGGGCAUUUAUUUUUGGGAAAAUUGCAGUCGAGAUACCAAACCUUUCGUUUAUUAGUAGAUUUUGUCCAAACCUUUAGUUUGUACCACCUACAAUUCCAAACAUUUCAAAAAUAUGUACCGGAGGUUCAAAUGGAUGGAAACCGUCCGUUUGACCGUUAGUUGACCAAGAAAAGUAAAUGUUGACCUAUUUUUAUCAAUUGAAAAGGGUAAAAAAGUGAAAGUUACUUAACCCUAUAAUAAAACAAUUAAAAUAAAUAAAUAAAACAUUAAAAAAUAUACUAUUCAUCUUCUUCUUCUUCACCCACCCCACCCCCACCCGCACGCCACCCUACCCCACCCCACAAAGCAUGGUAAAAUGGGGAUUUCUAGGGUUCCUCAAGCACAAGCUCAAAUCUAAUCCAAAUACAAAAUCGUAGACUAGGUAAAUAUGCUCACGGGAAAUUGAAAUGCCAAGUAGUUUGACUAUGCUCAUGUAGUGGAUUUUGCUAAUCACCAACAGCUUCUCUUUAACACUGGAGGUUGCGGGUAGGGUGGCGUGCGGGUGGGGAGGUUGUGGGUGAAGAAGGAGAUGAAUAUUAUUAUUAUUUUUUUUUUAUGUUUUAGUUAUUUAUUUUAAUUAUUUUAUUAUAGGGUUAAGUAACUUUUAUAUUUUUAUUCUUUUCAAUUGGUUAAAAAUUGAUCAAUGUUUAAUUUUAUUGAUCAACUAACAGUCAAAUGGACGACUUCCAUCCAUUUGGAUUUCGGGUGCGAAUUUUUAAAAGAUUUGUUACCUCCUAUGGCACAAACUAAAGGUUUGAGCAAAGUCUGCUAAUAAACAAAAGGUUUGGUACUUCGAUUGCAAUUUUCCCUUUAUUUUUUUUCAUUUUCUUUAUUUUUAUCUCAAUUUUUGAAGUCAUUAUAGAUGUUAAAUAGAAUUGAAUUAUUGUACUCUUAAUAGCAUUUCAAAUAGCUCACGGCCUAGUUUCUAUGUCGCUAAUGCGGCAGGAAAAUGUCACUCAUUGUAAAUGUUACAGCUUGCAAGUAAAUCAUUUCAAACUAUUAUUUCGAAAAUUUUGAUAACAUGCUAAUUUUAAAAAUUCUUCGAUGUUCGUACACUAAUCAAAUUCACAAACGUCAUCUCAAAACUUGUUUCAAGAACUGUAUUAUAGACAAAUCGAAUGGUUCAAACAUACAUCAUAAAUAGUUAAAUGUGUGUCAAAUGUGAGUCUUAAAAAGAUACGUCUCACUCGUUUUUUCUUUAAAAAAUUUUCAAUUAUUUCAUUAACAUUAAUUUUUGUGAGCGACAAUUUACAUCAUUUUAUUAGGAAAUUUUAUAUGGGAUAUGACAUCAAAAAUUUUAUAAAUUUUACAUUCGAAAAAGACAUAUACCAUGUGAAUUUUUCAACGUAAAAUUUGGAUGUAAAUUUGCACGGAGUAUGAUUUAUUUUGGAUGUGCAUUUUCCGACGUAAAAUUUCUCAUAAUUUUUUUGAAAGUUUGAUUAUUUCCCCCUAAUUCAAAAUCUCUGCGUCCACAACUGCUCUCCAGUAUGUGAAGAUGUAUGUGAAAGCUCACAAAUGACUAACCAAGAGGGGGUGAAUUGAUUUUUAAAACAUUUUCUAAAAUUAAUUCAGAUAUAAACCUAUGUAUCAACAAAUACAUCAAUUAAAAAAAUAUAGGCAAAUAAGAAAGCAAGUAAAGACUAAAUUGAUAAAUUCAAAUAUUAAGUACAAGUAUAAAAGCGAUAAGUAAAAGGGAGAGAGAAUAAAAACGAUAUAAUUGUGGAGGUUCGAUCUAAAGUAAUGAUUUAUGUCCAUUGUUACCAAACUUUCUGGCACGAGUAAGACAUUUUUACUAUGUUGAUUGACUUAUGGUGCACUCCAACCCUUUACAAUGCUUUCAGUGAAUUAUAAAUAAGAAGCACCUAUCCUUUAUAAAGUUGAACUUUACGGGAUCUCAAUACGACUCACUCUAUUGAGCUUUACGGGACCUCAAUACGACCCACACGAUGACUUACAACAAGGAGCAUCAAUUCUUACACAAUGUUGAGUUUUCCGAGAUCUCAACACAACCUACACUUUAUGAAAAUGAUUUUACAAUCAAAUCCUCUCUUAAUAAAUAAUACAAAACAAAUUAAAUACAAAAAGAGGCUAACACUUUAAUGAAUAGUAACAAAUUAUAGUUCAAGUGUUAGAUGAAAUUUUUUUUAUGAAAAUGACAAUUGAAAAUUAGAUUCAACCAAUCAAAGUGUUUUAAUUAGAAUAUGAUGAAGAAUAAAUGUAAUAUAAAUUCAAAUAAUAUUCUCAAGAAAUAUUUUUUUUUUAAUGAAUGAUUAUAAUAAAUCAAGUACUAAGAGAAAAAUUGAGAAACUUUGAUGGAGUAAGUUCAAAAAGAUCUUCGCAAAAAAAUCUCUAUUUGAUGAAUGAGUGUAAUAUAUUUAGCACUAAGAGAAAAAUAGGAAACUUUGAUGAAUAAGAUAAUUUUAUAAAUUUGAUUCAAUCAAUCAAAAUUUUCAAUAUAAAGAAGUUGAAAAGUUAAUGCAAUAUAAGUACAACAAUCUUCUUCAAAAAUAUAUUUCCAUUUUAAAAUUAAUAUAAAUAAGUUAAGAACAAAGAGGGAUGAAAAACUUUGAUGAGAGAAAUUGAUUCAAGGAAUUUGAUUUAACAAUUAAAAUUUUCAAUAUGAAGAAGUGGAAAGAUUUAUGCAGUGUAAGUGUAAAUAACUUGUUCAAUAAUAUAUCCUCUUUUAAGAAUGAUAUAAAUAAGUUAAAUACAAAUAAAAAUGAAAAACUUUGAUGAGAAGGAUGAUUAAGGAGUUUGAAUCAAUCAAAAAAUUUUAUAUAAGGAGACAAAUGAAAUGAAUGCAAAGGAAAGCUCAAAAAAUUCUUAAAACAAAAAUAUUUCACUUUUAUAAACUUUAAAUUCUUAUGAAGAAUGGAAAGAAUGAGAAUAUUUAUGGAGUUCAAAAACGUAAAAAAAUCUGAAAGUUCGAAAGUUAUGUUCGGUCAAUCGCCUCUUGUCCGGAAGAUCAAUAUAACUGUUUGUACAACAAAAAAUAAAUGCCAAAAUAGUCAAAUUUUGGACUGUUGGAGGGGAUUCGGUCGACCGACUCUUUGGACGGUUAACCGCCUCGACAACGCAAUCUUUUUACAUUUUGGUCUUGUUUGUUCUAAUUUGAAAGUUUUGAAGUGCAUGGAAUUUUGAAAAAUAUUUUUAAUUAAUUUUUCAUGAUAAUUUUUUUUUAAUUCCAAAUAUCACUUUUAAAAGUUAUUUUUUAUUUGAUCAAAACGUUGCAUUCGAAUAACUUUUUAAUGCACAAAAAUUAUUUUUAAUACAUAAAAAGAUUUUGAGCUAGAUCAUUCAUUGCCAAAUAUCAAAGUAUUUAGUACAUUUACAUUUAACCUAAGAAAUCAAGUAUUUGAUCUUCCUCUGAAGUUUGACUUUUAAAUUAUUGAAUGUGUGACUUCGAUCUUGACCUAUUUCUUUGAUACUGUCUCUCGUGCUCUUGAUCUUUGUUCGUCUCGAAUGAUUUUAUUUGAGUGCUUAAUGCUUAAUAGAUUUUAACAUAGAACUAUCAUCACUCAAAAUAAAUUGUUAGAAAUAAUAUUAAUCUUGUUUAUUAUGAUCAAAACAUUGAGGAUCAAGUCGACCAUAGAUCAACAAUAUGUUACAUGGGUUUCAUGCCACCAUGACAAUUAAAUCGUGACUAGGAAUAUAUGGACAUAAUGCAUAAAUGGGGCUGAAUUUUUUCCUAGUUGUAUGGAUAGUGUACAUGAGAGUAAUAUGAUUUGGAUUUAGUGAUUUGUAACAAGAUUUUAAAGCUCGACAAUGAAAAAAAAAUUGCUGAAUUGAUAUAAAAAGUUUAGAUAUUCAUGCUGAUAAGACGUUAUGCACUAGAGAGAAAAUAUUUAGAAUCAAAAUCCCAUAUUUAUAGAGAAUAAUUAAGGUUAUGAGGGAUAUAACAGCUUUUAAAACCCCCCCCCCCCCCCUCUUCUUUUUUUGUCAAUAAUUCAUUUAGAAUAGUAAUUUGAUGGAGAAUAGGUGGUUAAGAAAUAAUAACAAAUAUUGAGUUUGCGUGUAAUAUUAUUUUAUUGAACAACGUAUGAUUGAAAAUAAAAGAGAGAAAAAUGUAUUUUGAAAAUAAUAGGAACCAAACAACGGCAUAGUUGAAAAUAUUAAUUUUUAUUACAUUUUUUCUAGUAUACAACUACAUUAUUUAAUGAUUUAUAUAAGAAUAGUUUAUAUUUAUUGAUAAUAAUGCACAUUAAAUAGAGACAAAUUAGAAAAAAACUAAAAAAUUAAUUAUGCUCUUAACAAAGAAAAUGACCUAUAUUUAAAAUAGACAGAAACAAAAGCAAGCAUAUUUUUAUGGAAUGGAGGAGUAAAAAAUAGAGAAUCAACAAUAUUUUAUUUAAAAAUUCAAAUAUUGACUACAUUGCAUCCGGAAAUUCAAAAAAAAAAAAAAAAGAUAAAUAAAUAUCGUAGUCGCCCAAAAAAAAAAACAAAAAAAAUUAUUUCUCGAUUAAUGAAGAUAUAUUUUCAAGUUAACUAAAAAACUAAAAUGGAAAACUCAUCGUCUUUCCAGAAUCAUCUUAUGGUUCGCCUUCGACAUCUCAGGCUUAUUUUAGAAUGAAAAGAAUAAUUGAAAAUGUAAUAUAUUUACAAGGUCAAAGUUUUGAAAAUGUUACUUCUUGGACACUUAAGACAGAAUGGAGGUAUAAUCAUGGAAUAUAUUUAAAUAAAAAAAAUGUGAAAAUAUGUUAUCGUGGUCAAAGGUUUGAAAACGUUACAAUUAUGACAGCAUGGUUGCGGAAUAUAUUUAUAUUAAAAAAUAUAUACAAUUUUAAAAUAUAAUUCCAACCUCUUGAAAAUGAUUCUGAGCAUAAACCUGCUAGUCCAAGACAAAGCGAUGCAAAUGGAAACAAAAGGAAUGGCACAACAGCAUUAAAAUAAAAUUUGGUAUGUUACAACUUGCAAGACUUUGGUAGGAAAUGUAAUGUUUUUUUAUACGAGCUAAAUUGACGAGUUCUAAUGUUAAGACUAUAGUUUAUUUUUGAAAAUUUACAAAAUACACCGUUUAUAUUGAAUUUAGGGAGUCGUCGUAGGGAUUUAUCCCUAAAAAGUCUAUUUACAUUUUACACACAAAUUAUUUUCUAAAUACAUACGUUUGCAUAAUAUUUUUUAUUGCAAGGUAACUAAUGGCACAUUUUGCUUAAAAAAUUAAAAAUUAAAAAUAUAAUAUAAUAAUUUUUUGUUCACAAUAAUUUUUUUUUAAUUAUGUAAUACUUUACAUUUUAACUAUUUUAUGACUUUUAAAAAAAUUAAUUAUUCUAUUUUUCAUUUAAAAUAUUUUUCUUUCUCAUUCACUUCGUUCUUCAAAAACUAAUUUUUUUUGUAGAGUCUCUUGAUUUGAUUAUUAACCUUUUCUUUUUCUACUGCAAAUUUUGAAAACGACUAGAUAACUUUAGUUUUUAUUUUAAUAGCACGAAAGAGAACCAAAAUAAAAAGAGAGUACACAUACAUUUCUAAAUAGUUUUCAGGUUAUAGAAUAUAUAAAGCUAAUAAUCCAACUUAAAACGAAUUAAAAAUUAAUUUUAAGCUACAAAAUAAUAACCAAUAUAAAAAAUUAUUUUAUAUGAUUUUUAUAAUUUUUAUAUCAUAGACAUAACUUUUAGUUAAAAUAUGAAAAAGUUUCAUUUUAUAACGUUGAAUAAAAAUCAAAUGAAGUUUUUAUCUAUACUUUUCAAUCAAUAUUAAAUCCUAAAGCCAAUUUCUUAUUUCUUAAGUUGAAACUCAAGGAAACGAAUAAAAUAAAACUUGUAAGAUAAAAACGUUUUAUUAAGAUAACGGCUUCUAGCAAUUAAAUUUUGAAAAAUGUUAAAAUAAUAAACGAAAUAGUAUGCAAAUUGUUGUAUAAUUUAAUAUAUAGGGUGUGACAUUUUAUUUAAAAUUAAAGGUAUUUUUGUAUCUUUAGUUUUUCCUGCUUUUAUUAUUGUGGGUUUAAUUUGAAGCUGUUAGAAAAGAGCUUGCAUUAUUGUUUAUUUUAUUUGCCUUAAGCAGCUCACUCUUCAACAUCAAAAAACUACCUAGGUCCUGUUUGUUUCCAAUUUUUCUGUCCAAAUUUAAUCCAUUUUUGGAUCAUUGUUCCACUGUUAGCCGUGAUUGUCGACUUCUUCUCUCACAAUGGAUCCCACGUGCUAGCAAAAAAGGUCAAAAAUACAUUAUUUUCUUCAAACAACUAAGAAUAAACAGGAUUUAACCUCACUCCUGUCUUUUGCACCACUGGACUAUGUCCGGAGGGCACGUUGAAAAGUUGUCUUGAAACUACACGAAGUGUUAGAAAGAGAUACAACUAUUAGUAUUUGUCUAUACUUGAAGAGACACACUUGUUGGAAAGGACAUGUCCAAAAGACAAGAUUUUUAUCGAAAUAGAUACGACCUCCUAGUAAAAAUAUAAUAAAAUAUAUUGUCACGUAUUUUUACCUAGCUUAAUUGAUAUUUCACCAUAUUUUAGUUCCAUGUCCAACAUUUUUCAUGUUUUAAGCUGCUCACGUUUGACCUUAAUCGAACAUUCAUUUCCAUUGGUUCAAGAAACUACCCGUAGAGUAGAAUAUAUUCGGCACGAAGUUCUGUACUCAAUUAGUGGGUCUCACUAGCUAGUUGGUCAAAGAUGAUCAAAUUCGACUUUUACUAAUCAAUUUCCAGCAUUUUUUUUAUUCAAAAAACUCCAAAACUAUGACAGCUAGAUUUACCAAGUUGAUGUCUUGCUAUAUCAUUAAAUAAUGUCGAUUCCUCACCAUGAUCACAAUCAUAACAAACUGACUAACUCGAAAGAAUGCCAUGAUCACAUUAAAAUUGUCAAAGCUUUAACAAACCAAAUCUCAUGCUCAAUAGGCCAAGCUACGAGGACGAGAUCAUAUCACCAAGGAAAGUCAUGUCGUCUACCAAGCAAGGUCAUGCACUAAGAUAAGUCGUAUCACUGACAUGAGGUGAAAUGAUAAAACUCGAAAGUCAAUUACACACAAAUGACACAUCAAUUUAGAAACAUUAAGCUCGCUCUACUUAACUUGGCGCACACAAAAUUUGAACUCUUAGCAUAAGAUGGCCCACCAAGGAAUUGCUGAAAUUAUGACAUUACACUGAGACACAAAAGUUAAUCGAGCCUCUAUUUGACAAAUUAGAUAAAGUAGAUAAAAGAUAGAAUCGAUAUAGUGAAAAGAUUUGAGUUCAAGCAACAUGCUCAUUCCUUCAUAAAAAUUGUUUACAUACCUAACCAUUAAUAAAAGAGUAAUGUUAUUUGUAGUCGCUAACUAUGGCAGUCAUCCUAGGUGAUAUACACAUGACAUAUAGCUCUUUGAUGGAUUAAUGUGGUAAUUUUUUAUUGACUCAUGUAUCAAAUAACCACAUGUCAUGUACGAUGAUUGCUGCAGUCAGCGACUGCAAAUAACAUUAUUCUUAAUUAAAAAGAUUAUUCCAGUUUGGAUCUAAGUAAGCAUAUAAUUUUUUUAAAUAAUAAAAUUGUAUAACAUCUAAUAACUUAUAUUUUCACAAUAAAGACAAUAAAGAUAUCCCCACAAGGCCUAAACUCUUGGACCCCAUCUAUGUGAGAUGAUCCGACUUUAGAUUUAUAGUACGAUAACUUUAUUAUGUGGCAAUUAAGCCCACACAUUCAUGGCUUUUUUGUUUCUGAUCUUUCCAUUUCAUGAGAAAAUUUAUAUUCAUUUUUCAAAUUCUAAGAUUCAUAUAUUGUACUCUUAUAAAGUCGUAUACUGUAGAGGGUAGGUAUAUGAAGAUAUUAUACUUGUAUAAACUAGUUCAGAUGGAUCGAUUGAGUAAAAUGACAAAUAUAUAUCGAUACAAAAAUGAAGUUUCAAAUUGUUGACGACAAAAAAUAAUGUGACAAUUUUAGAUCAUUUAUAGAAAUUUUGACAAAUUAUCAAAUUUUAGUGCUAGUAUGGAGACAGCUCAAUCUUUUUCGUUCGGCUUUUACCCUCUUGUACGGGGCAAUAGAAUGGAGCUUGCCGCCUUGAUCAUGUGUAUCCAACCUAAACUUUUGCGCCGCCACUCUUUUUGAAGAGAUUUGAUUGGUUGGAGAGUUAAAUGGUAGCGAGGUUAUCGUAAUACAUAGAUCGUAGUUAAGCACCUUAAAUCUACAUUUGAUAAUUGCGCCUUUUCGUUAGUGUUAUUAUGAUAUUUUCAGAUAAAAAGGUUGUUUGGAAAUAAUUUCGAGAAUUGAUUUUUUGACCGUUAGGAAAAAAGUGGGAUCCACCCAUGAGAAAAGAAGUCAAAUAUGAUGGUUGGAAUGGUGAAAUAACGGUUAAAAAUUUAAUUUUUUUGGGGAAAAAAUCACUCCCAAACACGCUGAAAGUCUCCAAUAGACCGACCUGUGUGGAUGGAUUUUUGGGUCAACCUUCCUUGCCGUCCCAUCUAGUUUGGAUAAAAAUCUAUUUGAUCAAUUUGAGAUGAACUCCUAAACAAAGUGACAUGGAUUUUCAGAUAAGCACCACACUCUAAAAGAUCACGUUGUGGUGGGAAAUGGUUUAAUUUGUACAAGAAUGGAAUGCCGUGUAUGGCACAUUAAAUUGACCAACAAUGGAGAACAAGAGGUCUACCAGAAAAUGAUUUAACAAGUUGUUCAAACGGGGCUGGGUCCCACAUUUCGACCAACCGAAACGACUUUCAGUUUCUCAUGACAAAGAAGUGAACAGGGUAAUUGACGACUGCUACUUUUAAAAUAAAAAAUAAUAAAUAAAUAAAUCGCAGGGGAUAAACUGCUACUAAUGGCCAGCUCUUACGCUUAAUUUUCAUGUGACGUGAAAUCCUGAAAAUAAGUAAAUUUCUUGACUUUUCCGGUAAUUUUUUCAAUAAUUAAUAAUCCAUCCUUGUCACCUUUUUUCAACAAUUGAAAAGUGAUACUUAAUUCACAAGCUUAGAUCAAAUUAGGAAUCCGUGAUCUCUCUCCCAUCAUUGUUUUAAAACAUAUUUAAUCGUUAAAUUAAACAAAAUUAAAGGAAAGAGAUCUGACAAAUUUUGUCGAUAAUUAUCAUAUCAAGUCUAGUAACGUCACAAUUGAGAAAACAAAAUUUAGUACUCGCGAAAUAUGGAGUUCUCCAUACUCCAUCUCUAGAAGUCCAAAAAAAAAAAAAAAAAAAGAGUGAUCUCGAUAUUAAAGCGGGCGGUAAAUUAGGAAGAAAAUUCAAUAAAAAUUGAGUGCUAAAGACAGUUGUAUCCAAAAGUUGAAGGGCAUCUAGUCAAGUGACUGAAAAACUGUUAAAUGUAUUGUCCCACAGGUUUGAAAAGAGGACAAAGGCGGUGUAGAAAGUGGAAAAGAAUCACACAACAUUAAUACAUAAUCAUAUUCCUUCAUUAUUUUAUGUUAUUUGUCUCUAUCCCAUCAAACAUGAAAAUCAAGACUAAAGGUAUUCACUCAAUUUUCUCCAAAAUUCCCAUCAUUUUCAUCCAAAUUACAUGAAUUUCUUAAUUCCUCAUGCUAUACAAAGCCAAAACUUCAUUGAUAUAUGCAAGUUUCUUGGUUCUUAUGUUAAGAAAAUGAAAACAAGAUUCCUAUUUCAAUUUCUCAUCUUAUGUUUAACAUUUCUUCUUUCAUCAGCCAUGGUAGAUGCAUCAACAGGUUGCAACCAAUCAUGUGGUGGGAAAAACGUUCUUUUUCCGUUUGGAUUCUCGACCGGGUGCCAAAUCCGACUGAAUUGUAGCCAUAAUGGCACCAUGUUUAUUAAUGAAUUUUCGAUACUAUCUAUUGACUCUGAUACCAUAUUGAUGAACCUCCAAGCCAAAUGCAAUCGAUCCAUUAAAGCCCUCUUUAGUCUCUUCACCCCAAACUAUGCUCCAACUUCGAGUAACGCGAUUCUGAUGCGAAACUGCAGAGCCCCUCGAACUGCGUGUUACAUCCCUAGAACACAGGUACAGACAAACUUCGAGCUGCCGGAUUGCAAUUCCAAAAAUGAGAACAUCAGCUGCUAUUCUGAGACGAACAAUCAGAGUUUAUUCGUUGAUUAUCAUAACUUGAGAAAAAGCACCUGUCGGUCCCUAUUUUCAGCAAUCUCAAUGGAGUCAUUAGCCAAUACUUCUGUUUCUUUGGAUGUUCAAAUAGUUAGGAUGGGGUGGUGGCUUCAAGGGGAUUGUCAGUGCUCUAAAAAUGCUAAAUGCACCAAUUUUUCGUCGCCUGUUGAAAGAAAACCAGCAUAUCGGUGCAAAUGCAACGAAGGUUUCACCGGCGAUGGAUUCAACGCCGGCAUGGGUUGCCGGAAAGGUAAAAUUCGAGCUUUUUACUUCUUCUUUUUUCCCUAUAUCUCUUCUUUUUCCUUUUUUCUUUUUUUCUUUUCUUUUUUCUUCUUUAUUUUUGGAGGACAUUUGAUCAAGUAAUUAUUCAAUCAGAAGAUGAUUUUUUUUAUUAUUAUUAUUUUUUUUUUCAAAAUUCAAAUGCCUGAAGUAAUUAUCAUCACUUCUUGUAUGCCUAAUAAAAAGUCCAACAUCUUUCCAAAAGUUGCACCAUCGAUAAAUUCAAACGUUUAAUUAAUUUUGUUCUUUGAGCGACUUUAAGGGCCAUGGCAAUAAUGGACAAUACGUAAUGGUCAUAUUUCUUGCGAUUAAUUACAUUAAUCAGACACGAAAUUUCUCCCGAUUCAGUAGUUUUUGUGCUCAUAAUUUCGAUGAAACUUUGCUAGAACUUUAGAAUUCGUGCUAUAUAGCACCAAUAUAUGUGACAUUAUGUGAUGGAUUCAAUUAAAUGUGAAGUUAUAUGAUUUAUUUAAUUGUACACAUACACUGAAGUUGUAACACUAAUGAUGCUAAAUAACAUUACUAAUUAACUUUUCAACGGCAUAUUUUAUCAAUUUUUAUUAAAAUUUAUAUCACACGUGUAUAUUUAAGAACGAUUCCAUUAAUCGAGAAAAAAACUCACGAAAAUGAAAAUUGGGUGAUUAGUAUAGUAACAUUAAUUUGAGUUUGUCUGCAAAUAAUCAUGUAACAAACUUGGGCAUUAGUUUUGCUGAUGUUUCCUCUACGAAACUACUUGUGAAUUGUGGGGCCAAAGAACUUUAAUCAUGGUCAGCAUGAUCGUGCUAUAAACUAUAAUUUGAUGAUAAUCAUUUGGUAUUAUAUCAAGUCAAUCCAAUCCAUUAGUCUAACCGGCCAAAUUUUCUUACAUCAUUUGGUCGUGGGAACGAAAUAUAUGUAUUCUUAAUCAUUUUGUCUGAUUAAAGAAAGAAUAAGACAUGCUUAACAGUAGGUUAGUUCACCAAACGAUAGAAAUAGUAGGGACUACGGACCCUCUAUUUAAAUUAUCUUCUGUCAAGAAAUACGUACAAAUUUGUUCUUCGUGACAUCUAAAAGAUACCUGUAGACAUAAUAAUGUCUGUAAGUAUGUCCAAAUUCAGUAUGAUGCAUAUGAAUAAAAAGUGGGUUUUUCGUGCUUGAUAUGAAAAUCAAGAAAUUAUAAAGAAAACCGGGUUGAAAAUAAAACUCGAAAAAUUUGAACCUAAUUAUAUUUGGAUAAUUCUAUCCGCGAUAAACAAUCCUUGUGUUCAAUUAUGUCGAGUCGUCUUAUAUAUUAUGCUUUCAAUGCCUGAUUUUGAACUUCAUUAAAUGGUGAAGAAACAGAUUCAGAGACAUGCAAUCCUUCCAAGUACUUAUCAGGCAAGUGUGGAGGAACAACUAGAGUUGGUGCUUUAGUAGGAGGUAAUAACAUUUCUUUGUCCAUUGUGAUGCAGAUUCUUUCGUGGAAAUCUGUGGUCUGAAUAAGGAAUUUUGCUUAUAUAGGUGUUGCAGCAGGUGCUUCAUUGAUGAUCAGUUUAGGUCUCAUAUGUUGUCUCGUUCGAAGAAGAUCGAAAUUGAGAAGCAGUAGUAAAAAAAGACGCCAAUUAUGUGAAGAGACAGGGAUUUCUAUUCCUGUAUAUCCUUACAAGGAAAUGGAGAAAGCUACAGAUUUCUUCUGUGAAAAACGAAGACUUGGAAAUGGCGCAUAUGGAACUGUAUAUUCGGGAAAACUGCAUAGCGACGAAUGGGUUGCAAUCAAAAGGAUCAAGCAUAGAGAUACUGGGAGUAUUGAACAAGUAAUCAAUGAAAUCAAGCUUCUGUCCUCAGUCAGUCACCCAAAUCUUGUUCGACUCUUAGGUUGUUCGAUAGAAAAUGAAGAGCAGAUUCUUGUUUAUGAGUAUAUGCCCAAUGGGACUCUAUCUCAGCAUCUGCAAAGAGAAAAGGGUAAUGGACUGUCUUGGCCGGUUCGUCUCACUAUCGCUGCUGAAACCGCUCAAGCUAUAUCCUAUCUACACAAUGCUAUGCAUCCUCCUAUUUAUCACAGGGACAUAAAAUCCAGUAACAUUCUCUUGGAUUACAGUUACACAUCAAAAGUUGCAGAUUUUGGGCUUUCUAGACUAGGAUUGACUGAAUCAUCCCAUAUUUCAACCGCGCCUCAAGGUACUCCCGGAUAUCUUGAUCCUCAGUAUCAUCAGCAUUUCCAUUUGUCUGAUAAAAGCGAUGUCUAUAGUCUGGGGGUGGUUCUUAUUGAGAUCAUAACAGCAUUAAGAGUAGUGGAUUUUAGUCGACCACAGAACGAGGUUAAUUUGGCUGCUCUUGCUGUAGACCGGAUUGGAAAAGGGCAUUUGGAUGAGAUUAUCGACCCCUUACUUAAACAAAAUACGGAUGCUUGGACUCUUUUAUCUAUACACAAGGUAGCUGAACUGGCAUUCAGAUGUCUUGCAUUUCAUAGGGACAUGAGGCCUUCAAUGAUGGAAGUAGCCAUUGAACUGGAACAAAUUAGGCUCAGUCAGUUGGCGAACGCAGAAGAUUGCAUCACAGCUUCAUCAGAGGCAUCCUCGAAUUCGUCUUCAUCCAAUUUAAGCGAGAAACCACUGAAUCUCACUGUUAAAAAGCAUGACUUAGAUAGCAUAGUACUGUUUGGUAGCCAAGAAUAUUCUACAGUAUCCUUGCACGACUUGCCAAGUGAACGAAGCUCACCAUCAUCAAAUAGUUUGCCAUUUUAAAGAAGCAAAAAAAGCAAGAUAUAUAACUACUCUCCCAAAUCCAAAAAUGGCAGUCUAUUUUUGUAUUUACCGUCAAAUUGUACCCAGCAGUGUGUUAAUUUAUACUCUCCUUACAUAACGAUCAGACAGAGUGAAGAAUUCCUUUUCUCCCCAAUAUGUAAUGAUCCAAAGACUACCAGUGUUUUCAAUUAUUUUCCUUUGAUAAGUGAUCACUUGAUCAUAUUGUAAUCAUUUGUAAAUUGUCAGCAUAGAGGAUAAGCCUCUAAGUUUGGGUCUUAUACCGGAAGCAAAAUAGUCUCAAUGUCAAGAACUCCUAACGAGCAAAAUAGAGAAUGAAAAGCAACUUGUCCCAAUGGCUUAGUGAAUAAGUCUGCAUUUGUUUCCCUCUCUAUAAAGACAGUUUAAAGUUCACCAUUUUGUAUUCAGUAAUGGACCGUAUGGAAAUUGUUGUGUAUAAAACGUGUUCCUCAAAAAUAGCAACUCUUUUAGUUCGACAAAUCUGGUUGGAAGGCCAUGUGGCAACCCCGAAUUGGUUCAAACAUGUUCACUUGGAUUAUGCUUCUUUGUGAGGCUACUGGACCGUUGGAUACAACCUAUGGCUAAGAUAAAUUUACUCCACUAUGAGACUCUUGGGACUAGACGGUUGAAGUCACUUUUCAAUUUUCUGAGUCUCUAGAUUCAUCGCCUCUCUCUCUUCUGGACUCUCAAUCUUCAUCUUUUGAUUUUCUUCGAUCUUUUGAUCACUUAAGUGUAGUCUAGCCAAAAUAAUGGUUGAAUCUGUGUGAUUCAUGUUGCAACAGUAAUUAGGCCUAAAAUAUUGGCUGAUUUAGUGUUUGUAGUGGUUGGCACAAAGUCUUGUUCUUAUUUUUGGUUAAGUUCUUGAGAUUUAAGAGAUCCAUGUGUGGAUCGAUAAUUAUCUCUGAGUCUGAUUGAGUUUUCUGGAUCUGUACUCUUUUUUUUUUUUUUUGGACGGUUUUUGCGCGCUUAGUUAUCGGGCUAAUCUUUGGGCCCUCAGAUUAGGCGAUUGUCGAAUUGGGUGAACAAUUUUGUGGCGUUCUUUUACUUUUGCACCGUGGUUUGUUUAUUUUACUGUUUUGUUAAACUGUGUAAGGAAAGAACCCUAACAACUGGUAUCAGAGCCUUCAAGCUCACUGGGGGUGCAAGUUUUGAACGAAAAAUUGUUUGUGUCAUUUACUUCUUUUGUCUGAUUUUUCUUAGGGUGCAAUUUUAUAACAGAACACUUUGAGGGGUCUUUCUUUCCUGUUAAUUUGAUUGUUUUUUUAAAUAAAUUGAAAGAUCUAAUUUGUGACCUUUUUGUGUUGUUGUUUGGAAGGGAUACCUUGGUGAAUGGUGGUGAAAAAACCACGGUCUACUUCCUGAAAGGAGGAGUUCUUUCUGUCCUUAGGUUGAGACUAACAGUGUGUUCUUCUUUACUAUUAAGACAGUAUAUGGUGAGAACAUUUUAAUUGUUUGGGGCUUUUGUAUAAUGAUUUUAGUCCUUGAUAAUUGAUAUAAGAUAUAUGUAUGUGAUACAUGGUAGAAUUGGUACUGUAAUUUGAAUUGCAUAUUUCUGUUAUUGUGAGCAUACUGCGUUAGUUAAGUUCUUGUAUAUAACUUGGUGCAAUUACUUGAUUACUUGGAGUACUCACUCUGUAUCAAAUAUUAUUGUUCUUAUUUCAAGUUUGGUGAAUAUAUAUUUGCUUGGAUUUUUGAAAAAAAUUUCAAAACCAUUUUCUACUCACUAGUUGAUCUUUAAUUCAAGAUUAUAUUAUGUCCAUGAGCCAUAGGCCACCCUUUUAUAGAACCCAUGAUGGGUUUGAAGGUCACCUUGUCUCAAUUCGAUGGAAAGAGGGAUUACUCUAUAUGGAAGCAGAAAAUGAGAGUCAUUCUGGUUCAACACAAGGUCUCUAAGGCCCUUGAUGAUCCUGAAACUUUUUCUGCUGAACUUAAGGCAAAACCAAAUGAAAUUGAAAACAUGAAUGAAAUUGCUUAUAGUUUCAUAAUUUUACAUUUGUCUGAUAACAUUGUAAGACAAAUUGAUGAAUCCAUAACUGCUAGAGCCCUAUGGACUGUCCUUAAUGCUAUGUUCUUAACUAAAACACUACCAAUAAAAUUUAUCUCUUGGAAAAUCUGUUUAGCAUUAGGAUGGACCCGGGGAAGGACUUAGAGGUAAAUUUGAGUAAAUUUAGUAUCAUAGUGAAAAGCCUUGCACAUAAUGAGAAGAAAUUUGAUGAUGAAGACCUUGAUGUAAUCCUUUAAACUCAUUACCUAACUCAUAUAAAGAUGUCAAAAAUGCAAUAAAUACUCAAGGGAUAAACUAACUUAAGCUAUAGUCAUUGAUGCUUUAAGAUAUAGGGAGUUAGAAGUCAAAAAGGAAAUUAAAUCUAAUCCUAGAGAUGAAAGCAUGUUUGUAAGAGAAAGACCUAAAAAGAGANNNNNNNNNNNNNNNNNNNNNNNNNNNNNNNNNNNNNNNNNNNNNNNNNNNNNNNNNNNNNNNNNNNNNNNNNNNNNNNNNNNNNNNNNNNNNNNNNNNNNNNNNNNNNNNNNNNNNNNNNNNNNNNNNNNNNNNNNNNNNNNNNNNNNNNNNNNNNNNNNNNNNNNNNNNNNNNNNNNNNNNNNNNNNNNNNNNNNNNNNNNNNNNNNNNNNNNNNNNNNNNNNNNNNNNNNNNNNNNNNNNNNNNNNNNNNNNNNNNNNNNNNNNNNNNNNNNNNNNNNNNNNNNNNNNNNNNNNNNNNNNNNNNNNNNNNNNNNNNNNNNNNNNNNNNNNNNNNNNNNNNNNNNNNNNNNNNNNNNNNNNNNNNNNNNNNNNNNNNNNNNNNNNNNNNNNNNNNNNNNNNNNNNNNNNNNNNNNNNNNNNNNNNNNNNNNNNNNNNNNNNNNNNNNNNNNNNNNNNNNNNNNNNNNNNNNNNNNNNNNNNNNNNNNNNNNNNNNNNNNNNNNNNNNNNNNNNNNNNNNNNNNNNNNNNNNNNNNNNNNNNNNNNNNNNNNNNNNNNNNNNNNNNNNNNNNNNNNNNNNNNNNNNNNNNNNNNNNNNNNNNNNNNNNNNNNNNNNNNNNNNNNNNNNNNNNNNNNNNNNNNNNNNNNNNNNNNNNNNNNNNNNNNNNNNNNNNNNNNNNNNNNNNNNNNNNNNNNNNNNNNNNNNNNNNNNNNNNNNNNNNNNNNNNNNNNNNNNNNNNNNNNNNNNNNNNNNNNNNNNNNNNNNNNNNNNNNNNNNNNNNNNNNNNNNNNNNNNNNNNNNNNNNNNNNNNNNNNNNNNNNNNNNNNNNNNNNNNNNNNNNNNNNNNNNNNNNNNNNNNNNNNNNNNNNNNNNNNNNNNNNNNNNNNNNNNNNNNNNNNNNNNNNNNNNNNNNNNNNNNNNNNNNNNNNNNNNNNNNNNNNNNNNNNNNNNNNNNNNNNNNNNNNNNNNNNNNNNNNNNNNNNNNNNNNNNNNNNNNNNNNNNNNNNNNNNNNNNNNNNNNNNNNNNNNNNNNNNNNNNNNNNNNNNNNNNNNNNNNNNNNNNNNNNNNNNNNNNNNNNNNNNNNNNNNNNNNNNNNNNNNNNNNNNNNNNNNNNNNNNNNNNNNNNNNNNNNNNNNNNNNNNNNNNNNNNNNNNNNNNNNNNNNNNNNNNNNNNNNNNNNNNNNNNNNNNNNNNNNNNNNNNNNNNNNNNNNNNNNNNNNNNNNNNNNNNNNNNNNNNNNNNNNNNNNNNNNNNNNNNNNNNNNNNNNNNNNNNNNNNNNNNNNNNNNNNNNNNNNNNNNNNNNNNNNNNNNNNNNNNNNNNNNNNNNNNNNNNNNNNNNNNNNNNNNNNNNNNNNNNNNNNNNNNNNNNNNNNNNNNNNNNNNNNNNNNNNNNNNNNNNNNNNNNNNNNNNNNNNNNNNNNNNNNNNNNNNNNNNNNNNNNNNNNNNNNNNNNNNNNNNNNNNNNNNNNNNNNNNNNNNNNNNNNNNNNNNNNNNNNNNNNNNNNNNNNNNNNNNNNNNNNNNNNNNNNNNNNNNNNNNNNNNNNNNNNNNNNNNNNNNNNNNNNNNNNNNNNNNNNNNNNNNNNNNNNNNNNNNNNNNNNNNNNNNNNNNNNNNNNNNNNNNNNNNNNNNNNNNNNNNNNNNNNNNNNNNNNNNNNNNNNNNNNNNNNNNNNNNNNNNNNNNNNNNNNNNNNNNNNNNNNNNNNNNNNNNNNNNNNNNNNNNNNNNNNNNNNNNNNNNNNNNNNNNNNNNNNNNNNNNNNNNNNNNNNNNNNAAGCGGUAAUAAGCAGAUGACUUAGGAGUGAAAAACGAGGAAUGGAGAUUGAAGACAAAAAUGAGCUCGAGGAAAUUUGGUGAGGUAUCAAUUUAGGAGUAACAAGAAACAAUCUGCGAGCAAGGUUGAGAAAAAACAUUGAAGAGGAAGAACAUCCACCAUUAUCUAAGAGAAUUGAGAUUAAGGAUUCUUCUAAUAUAUUCGGGUUACGUAUUCAUCUUCCAUCUUGUAUUUCUGCGAUACAAUUAUGAGUGGUUAAGCUUCUUCUUGUUGCUAGGAUUUACAAUGAAGCCUUUAAUUCUUUAAUCUAAUAAAUUGCUCUUUUUUUUUCCCUUUUUUUUUUAAUUUUAAAUCUUGAUGGACUGAUGGUUUGUUAUUAAAUUUGAUAUCUUAUUAUCUAGCCAAUAUUAGGAUUGUUCAUGGAAUUCGUGCUGAUACCGAGAGGUUCUACGUAUUUGUAGAUGUCUCACAUUUUUAUCUACUUGCAACCUUCAUUUGAAAUAUAAUUAGAUCGUGGGACAUAACGAAUAUGAGAAAGUAUAAAAUAAGAAUUGGUUAAUAAAGAGUAAUUGAUGACUAAAGUAGGUUAACAAUGUUGGAUUCGGAUUCUAGUGACUUAAAUUAAAUUUCAAGAUUUGCUUACUUUUUGAUUGCUUAUUUUAGUUAAUUAUUAGAGUUAAUUGCGUGUGGAUCUUGAUUAGAGUUAAUAUGGUAAAUAGCAUUAAUUACACUUCCGUGACCAACUUUUUUCUAGACAAUCGUGUUUCCAACUUCUGAAAAAUUAGCCGCCUUCAUCCAAAUGUAUGAUUUUCAUCAAUUUCUUCGUUAGCCAAUCCUUUGACUUGCAAAUAUUAAAAACAGCAGAAUGAUCAUUCCAUUAUUUUAAAUUAAAAUAUUAAAAAAUCCAAAAAAAUAAUAAUUAUUAAAAUAUAUAAAUAAAUUAAGCGAAAAAACCCUGAUUAUCUUUUCCAUCACCCCGCUACUACAUCCAACCCAUCACACCAGGAAAUUCACCUAUUUAUACACAACCGCCGCCAGUAAGAAGUUCGCCUAAUAAUGAAUAUGUUGACUCAAAUUUGGCUCACCAUUUUCACCAUAUCCAGGAGAAAUUCGUGGCGGGCCUGGUGGCUAUUGUGGAGCUAAAGAGGUGGCGGUAAGAUGAGAACGAGAAACGAAUCCUUCUUUUUCACGCAUAUUAAGAAAAUUUAGUUAAUAAAAUUAAAAUAAUAAAUCUUACUAUCAUUUUUACUAAUAUACCCUAACACAAUCAAUGUUCGAGGUAAUUAAAUUAAGCAUACAAUAUUCAAGGUAAUUAAACUGAUAACAAAGCACAUUAAAUAAGGACAUAUUAGAAAAUCAGUAUAUUAACCAAAUUCUCAAAUAAGAAACAUGACAAUAGUUUGGAACAGAUGAAGAAAGGAAAAUAUGUUGGAAAAAUAAUAGCAAUAGAGAAGAAGAAUAUAAAAGAAUAUCAAUGAAGGCUUGAACACGAAAUUAAUCUCGCUGUACUCAAACGUUAUUUGCCUCAUUUCCAACACUUUUUAAGGAUUUCAAACAAAUAGUUUAUAGGAUUAAAUAAACCUUGAUAAGAAGAACACCAAAAAGCAAAAAUGUAACUUCACAAUAAACAAGUGAAAAAUUGAGAUGAUUAUGUGAUAAUUUCCUUAAUGUUUGGAAGAAUAAUUUGGAGGUAAAUUUCAAUGGAAUUCAAUAUAUCUUUCUUGCACUUGGAUCACCUAUUUAUAGACCUUGGCAAGUUUUUCACGAAAUGGUGCAAAACCAGAAUAAAAAGCCACAAAUUUCAAAUAAAAAACGGUCAAAAACCUAACGUUAGUUUUUUGAUAACCAUGCGAUCGCAUGGGCUAUAGCCAUGCGGCCGUAUGGUUAUAGCUUCCCCAGCCCUCUCAUUUUUAGGAGGGCCUCAUGCGACCGCAGGCAUGGUUAACCCCCCCCCCCCCCCUUUUCUUGAUUUUGAACAACAAACAAAUAAAUUCCAACAAUUACCCACUUGUUCAAAAUCUGGAUUAAUCACAUAAUCAAAUAUCAACACUUGUGCAUAAGAAUUAGAUAUCUUUUGAUUUGAAUAUAUUCAUAGUGUAAUUCUCAUAAAGUAUUAUCAGAAUUCCAGGUGGCUAGUGUGCCUUGAACCAGUUAUUCUUUGUAACAAUAUCGAUGAAAUCACACACACAAGUGUUAAGCUUUUCACUAAUUCCUCUAACUCGCUUAGUGCUAAUAUGACCUUGCACUAAUUUUAUUUCACUGAACUUUUAAAGAGAGAAAACUUCAACUCUCUAAUGAGGCGGCACCACCUCAAAGUUCACAUAUGUGAAGUUCUUCUAGUAUCUUUGUUACUAUUACAAAUACUUUCACUUUGUACUGAACUUCAUUAAGAGUUUAUUUUAACUCAUCCCUCCAACAGUAACAACCAACACUAUUUCUCAAAGAGAGUAUUUGAUAUAUUUAAUAGUGUUGUAUCCAUCCACUUAUCGAAUAACUUGUUGUUACCUCUUGAACUAUAAUUUACUAGUUUAGUAUAACUUGGUGAGGUUGCAGUUAUUGGUGGAUCUAUUUGAGGAGUUUUAAUCUCAUUUUUCUUGAUGUUGAUCUCACUAACUCUUUUGUGAGAGGUUUUGUAAAUGGAUCGGCUAAGUUUUCACUAGACUUAACAAAUGUAAGAAAAAUUACUCCAUGCUUGAUUAAUUUACUUACAUACUCGUGUCUUGUCUAGACUUUCCAUUGUAUAUUUCGUUAUAUGCUCGAGCUAGAGUUACUUAACUAUCACACAAGAUAUGUAUAGAAGAAAUAUCAUUUAUAUUUAAAGGUAUUUCAUAUAAUAAAUCUCUUAGCCACUCAGCUUCUUUCCCGGUUUCAGCCAAUGCUACAAACUCCAAUUCCAAGUUGAAUGAGUAAUACAAGUUUGUUUCUUAGACUUCCAAGAAAUUGCCCCACCUCCAAGAGUGAAUAUCGAAUCCGAAGUAGAUUUAUUUUCUCCUGCACUCGAUAUCCAACUUGCGUCGGUAUAUCCUUCCAAGAUUUUAGGAAAUUUUGUAUAUUGUAGCCCAAGAUUUUUGGUUUUCUUUUGGUAACCAAGAACCCUACCGAUGGUCUUCCAAUAUUCUGAAUUUGGAUUGCUAGUAGACCUACUUAGUUUACUUACAGCAAAUACUACAUCAGGUCUUGUACAUUGUUAUGCGUACAUAAGACUUCCAAUUUCACUUGCGUAUUCUAUUUGUGCAACUGCUCUACCUUCAUUUUUUAUCAAUUUAUAUUUGGAUCUAUAGGAGUGUUAGCCUCCUUAAUAUUCAAAUGUUUGAAUUUAUUUAUCACACUCUCAACAUAGUAUGAUUAGCUUAAUGUAAAACCCCCACUAUUAUUUUUAACUUUGAUACCAAGGAUAUUAUCAACUUCUCCAAGAUCCUUCAUUUUGAAAGUAGAGGAUAGAAACAAUUUUGUUUCUUUGAUCCCGUCUAUAUUAUUGCUAAUGAUUAGUAUAUCAUCAACAUAUAGACAUACUAACGUAAAUAUAUUAUCAUUCACUUUCGUGUAGAGGCAUUUAUCUACCGAAUUAUGAUUAAAUCCAUUUGACAUUAUUUUAGAGUCAAAUUUCUCAUACCAUUUUUUAGGAGCUUGCUUUAGUUCAUAUAAGGAUUUAAUUAAUUUGCACACUUUAUGUUCAUUUUCCGGUAGAACGAACGCUUCUGGUUGUUCCAUAUGGACCUCUUCUUCGAGAUCUCCAUUUAGGAACGUUGUCUUAACGUCCAUUUGAUGAACAUGUAGAUCGUAAAUGGAUGUUAACGCAAAUAAGAUCCUGAUCGAGGUUAUCCUAGCUACGGGUGCAUAUGUGUCAAAGUAAUCAAUUCCUUCUCUUUGACGAUACCAUUUAGCCACUAAUCUAACCUUGUAGGUAUUAAGAGAUCCAUCGGAAUUGUAUUUCUUCCUAAACACUCACCUGCAACCAAUAGCCUUAGAUCCUACUGGCAAGUCAACUAUUUUCCAAGUGUUAUUUGAAAUAAUAGAAUUUAUUUCGUUGUUUAUAGCUUCUUUCCAGAACAUGCAAUCUCUAGAUUGCACCGCUUCCUUAUAAGUCUUAGGAUCACUUUUCACUUGAAGAACAAAGGGAAUUCUUCUUACAACAUCCUUUCUAUCUCCUUCUACUAAGUAAAAAGAAAUAAGUUGGGGAUCUAUCUCAUCUAAUCCUAAGUUCUUUUCUUUUCUAGUUCUUUUACUUCUUCAAGGUUCAAUUUUAACAUCUUUUAUGGAUGUCUCUUCUGGUGAGCUUCUAAAGAUUGAAAUAUCCUUAUUAUUAUUUUCAGAUUUCUUAGCUAUCAUUACAUUUUCGAAGAAUUCCAUAUCUCUUGAUUCUAUUAUGACAUCCGUUUCUAAAUUUAAUAAUCUAUAGACUUUGCUAUUAAGAGCAUAUCCCAUAAAAGUACAUUUGAUACCUCUAGUACCUAACUUGGUUCUUUUAGGACCCAUAUUUUUACAAAAUGCCCCAUACUUUAAAAUAACUAAUAUUUGGGUUUCUAUUUUUUCAAAUUUCAUAUAGAGAAAUUUUAUUCCUUUUCAUAUGAAUCCUAUUUGUUAUAUGGAAAGCAUUAAGUGAGGCUUCACCCCAUAGAUUAAAAGGUAAUUCAGAAAUUAACAGCAUGACGUUUAUCAUUUCCAAAAGAAUUCUAUUCUUUCUUUUUGCUAAUCCAUUUUGUUCUGGUGUUCUAAGUGCAGAAACUUGAUGUAUUAUUCCAUUUUGUUCACAAAAUAUGUUAAAUUCAUUAGAAAAAUAUUUCCCACCUCUAUCGCUUCUUGAAGUCUUUAAUUUUCUUCCUAAUUGAUUUUCAACUUCAAUCUAUAAGUCUUAAAAGCACUAAAAGUUUCAUCCUUAUGUUUUAAUAAGUACACAUAGGUAUAUCUAGAACAAUCAUCAAUAAAAGUAAUAAAAUAUCUAUUACCAUCUCUAGUUAACAUUCUAUUCAAUUUACAUAUGUCGGAAUGAACAAGUUCAAAUAAUCUUGCUGUUCUUACUACGCUAUGAAAUGACUUCUUAAUCAUUUUUUAUUUAACACAUGUUUCACAUUUUUUCAAGUUGUCAAUAUCACAUUGUAUUAAUUCACAUUUAAUCAUUCUUUUCAUAGUAUUAACUCCAAUAUGUGCUAAUCUAUCAUGCCAUAAAUUAAAUGAAUCAGUAACAUACGCAAAAGAUUUAAUUUUAUUUGAAUUAUCCUCAAUAGUACAUAGUUUGAUCAUUCCUUCAGUGGAAUAGCACUUUCCAACAAAGUGCCCAUUAUGGGUUAAUACAGGCUUUCCAAAUUCAAAAACAGAUUUAAUUCUAGGUUUUCCCAAAAGUACACUACUUGCUAAGUUUCUAUUCAUUUCUGAUACAUGCAAGAUAUUUGUCAAAGUGAUUUUCUUUUCGGAAGAGAAAAUGAGUUCCACAUUUCCUUUGCCAAUCACUUUUGAUCGUCCUUCAUUUCCCAUCUGUAUCCCUUGAUUAUCUUCAAUGUCAUGAUAAGUUUUGAAAAGAGACUUAUCAUAACAUACAUGGAUUGUAGCGCAUGUAUUGUACCACCAGCCCGAAACUUUGCCUUGGAUUGCAUUGAUUUUGCUUAUCGUGGCGAUAGUCUCAUCAACAGGGUUCACUUGUCCUUCCUUCUUUUGUUGUUUCCUAUGUCUACAAUCCUUAGCAUAGUGUCCCGAUUUUUCACAAACAUAGCAAGGUCCUUUGGCUUUGUUUUUUAACUUUCCUUGAUCCUUUCUAGGACCAAGAAAUUUUCCUUUCUUUUUAAAUUUGUUGAAGUUGUCCACGACAUUGACCUUUGAAGAGUCAUCAUAAAAAUUUUCAAUGUUAUCUCUUGCUCUUGAUUCUUCCUCAAUAAGAAGAUGUUUUUGUAUAUCUUCCAAAGAAGAGUUUUAGGAAUUGUGAAGAAUCUUCUUCCUAUGUCCUUUCCAAGAACUGGAAAGUUUUGCAAUAAUUGCUCCCACUUGAAAAGUUUCGGGAAGUUCGAUGUUCACCGCUUUCAGUUUGUCUACAAUUAUUUGUAACUCAUGUACUUGAGGCAAUAAAGGUAUAUUAUCCAAAAAUUUGAAAUCAAAAUACUCAGAUAUUAAGAACUUUUUGGUACCUUCCUCCUCGACUUUGUAUUUGCUUUCUAGCGCGUACCAGAUUUCUUCUGUCGAUGUAGUGUUGGUGUAGAGAUCGUAGAGGUGAUCAGAUAAUGCAUUUAGGAUAUGGCCACGACAUAUCAAUUCGUCCUCUUCCCGUUUCUUCCUUUCUGUGCAGAUUUCUUCGGUAUCCUUGUCAAUUGCAUUGGAAAUGGGCACUAAUUUUGGAUCAAGCACGUAGAAUAUAUUCAAGGCCGUUAAUAGAAAUUUAAGUUUGUCUUGCCAUCUUGUAAAAUUGCACCAUCGAAUCUGUCCAAGCGUACCAAGUCUUGAUUCAUCAUUUUGAUGGUAGCAAGUGUAGAUUCCAUCCCCAUCGCAGUAAUAUUAACAAGUAAUGUUUGAGAAUGUUGGAAAAAUAAUAGUAAUGGAGAAGAAGAAUAUAAAAGAAUAUUAAUGAAGGUUUGAAUACGAAAUUAAUCUCACUGUCAUCAAACGUUAUUUGCCUCAUUUUCAAUGCUUUUUCAAGAUUUUCGGCAAAUAGUUUGUAGGAUAAACACAAUGAACAAGUGAAAAAUUUGGGAUGAUUAUGUGAUAAUUUCCUUAAUGUUUGGAAGAAUAAUUUGAGGGUAAAUUUCAAUGGAAUUCAAUAUAUCUUUCUUGCACUUGAAUCAUCUAUUUAUAGAUUUUGGCAAGUUUUUCAAGAAAUGGUGCAAAACAAGGAUAAAAAGCCACCAAUUUCAAAUAAAAAACGGCAAAAAAACUAACGGUUAGUUUUUUGAUAACCAUGCGACCGCAUGUAGCCAUGCAGUCGCAUGGUUAUAGGCUUAUAGCUUCGCCAAUCUACCCAUUUUCGGGAGGGCCUCAUGCGACCGCAUGAGCUUAAUCCAUGUGAUCGCAUGGUUAAGCCCCUCUUUUUAUUUUUUUCUUGAUUUUGAACAACAAACAAAUAAAUUUAAACAAAAUAUAAAUAUCAUUAUAGGAUGGAUGGAGUAAUAUUGUUUAUUUUUUGAAUUCUUUUCCUUUUUUUCAAAAAUUUUAGUUUUUUUUUUCCUUAUUUUAAAUAUUGUAAUUUAUAAUAAGAAAAGGAUCAUUUUAUCUUUUUAAUUUUUGAAUUUGCACGUGAACAUGGUUGAUACUUGAUAAGUAGUCGUCCAUUUGGAUUUCUAUAAUAUGGCAGGCACAUCCUUCGACAAUUUAGAACGUGGCGUAGUAAAUAUGUACAAUAUGAUUUCACCUACCAAACAACCAAACCCCAUGAUCAUUGAACAAUCCUCAAAAUAAAGAAAAAAAAAAGUGGGACCUCUUCUCCACCAUCCAGCAAAUGCAAGCUUUUGAUUACUCACCGGCAAACUUAAAAUAAAAUAAAACCGCACUGCUGUCUAGAAACUGGCCUUCUUUAACGACGUUACAGUAACUUUGGCUCCUAACGGCGACGCACCGACUUCAAUAUCAAUGGAGUCGUAACGGAGAAACAGCUCCACCAGCAUCAGCCUCGAAAUCAGCACCACAAAAUCUUUUCCGGCACACUGCUUGUUGUUAACGGUGGGACUCUCAGUUUCCGGCCCGUUAGACCAGAGAACGUGUUUCAACAGUUUUUCACCCUCAUCGUCGAUGAACCUUUCCGGCACAAACUCGUCUGCCCGGUCGAAAAUUUUAGGAUCCUUGGUCGCAAAUGGUUGGAAGCCGAAGAGCAUUUCUCCCUCCUUAAUUUGGAAAGCUGCGUCGUGGGAUUCAAUCACGAAGUCACGUUUGGCUCUCGCGAACUGGAGAGGCACCGGCGGCUCAAUUCGCAGGGAUUCGUAUACUACGGACUUCAUCAACGGCAUGCGUUCCAUGGCUGCCAUGGUUACUUUGCCACCGGUUGAUUGAAUGGCCGACCGGAUUUCUUGUGCCAACUCUGAAUGGAGCUUGGCCCCGGCUCGACCAACCCAUUUAAGCAUGUUGGGAAAGAAAAUUUUCAUCCCACCAAAGGAGUUGAAGCAAGUAGCGAAAAUUAGAUUGUGACAAGCCUCUUCUCGUGAUAGACCAAGUUUUUCAGCUUCAUCAAGAACAGGAGUUGAAUUCUGGUAAAAGAAAUCAUACAAUCUUUUGUAGUCUUUCUUUAUCAAGAAUGGUGGGAGAGAAACUGAGUGAAAAAUGCCAUCUUCAAGUAGUCUUGGUAGACCAAGAAUUAGAAUUGGAUGCAGUUGAAACAGCACCCAUUUGCUAACAAUCUUGGGUCCAUCGGACCCAAGCUUGGUGUCAACUGGGUUAGCGCCAUAUAAAGAUCGAGCCAAGAAUUUAAAUGCGGCCUGAUCAUUAGCCUCACCAAAACUUGCUUUCCCUUUAGUGGCUAAUUCUCUUUCUAAAUCAUCAAACAGCUCCGUGUAGCUGCUGUGGAACUCCGGGAUCACCUGAUCGCGCCUGAGAGACAGUAGAAAGAACAUGAUCUUCUUCAGCUUGGCGUGGUUCGGUUCCGACGGAUCCAAAUAGGAGAGGAUUCUAUAACCACCGGUGAGUUCAGUGGACGGCAUGUAUGUACCGGUGAAAACAUCCUUCUUUUCGACUUUAUCAGUGUCAAAAAGGACAGGAAAACUCUUGCCGUCAAGCAAAACUGUGACUUUCGAGUUGAAGGAAACUAAAGGACCGGGUGGCAUAUUGGUCUUAAAGACUGUAGACUGGUAUUUUUGAAUUCGGGACUUGAAAUACUCGUCCCUCCCUUGGUUGUAAAAGUAAUCUUGUCUGUCUUUCCAUGGUCCGAUCAAGGGGAGCCCGUAGUCUCCUGGAAUUUUUCGGAUCGGAAGCUUGUUCGGUUUUGCUGUCACAACCGUCGAUGCCGGCUGAGGAGGUGAUGGCGUAGAAAAGGAUGGCUUUUUGGAGACAGAGGCUGUGAUUGGCCGGAAAAGGGGUGCCGGUUUUAAUUGUUUUGAAGCAGGUAGCUUUUGUGAUCUCUGCAAAGAAAAUUGUAAUUGCGAAGAAGAGAAAGCUAAAGAAGAUGAAGCCAUUAUUAUUAAGCUUUUUUUAUGAGUGCAGGUGGGAGAAGAAUUAAUAAUGGAUGAAGAAAUGAGGAGGUGCAGAUUGGAGUUGCACCUUGUGAGGCAUGUAUUUAUAUAAACAAAUAAAUGGGUAAAUUUUUUAGUAAACACGAUAAUCUAUUCAAAUCACUUAUUGAUGAGUGUCAAACUAUUCAAAUUACGUGCUUUGACGUUGAGUGAGUCCGUCCACCUAUUCUACUUCUAUCUUGUACACACUAGAAAGUUUAAAGUAUCAUCAUAUAAUUGAACGAUCUUAAUACGUGUGAAUACAAGAUCAUCUAAAUGAAUUUUCAGAUAAGGGGAGUUCAAUAUAUAUAUAUAUAUAUAUAUAUAUAUAUUAUGUUGUGUUAAUCUACUAUUUCAAAAUGCAAUUUUCAAUAAAAAUGAGGUUCGAACAUGCUCUUAAUAAGGUAGAUAACCACAGUCAAGAAUAAUGAAUGUUAGAGUGCGAAAGGUGAGUGGGGGUCCCACGGGGCUGGAGUGGGGGUGGGGGAGAGGGGGGCUUGUGAUUGGAUGGAUUAUUUAUAUGCACUACUCGAUGUUUGACAAAAACAAGCCUUCCAAAGCGCGCAUGAAUUAAGAUAGCCACUAUGAAUCCCAUUUAUAGCACAAUGUAUUUGUUAUGUACCCAAAUUCCAACACUUGUUUGAUUCUUGUACACAUCUUGCUUUUCUAUGGCACGUUCAAAUGUCAAAGUAGGAAAGUUCAGUGUCUUCAUGCUAAUUUAAAUGAUCAAAUUAGCGAUGUUAAUUAUUCGGUCCAACAAUUGACUAACAACUAUUCGAUGAAAAAAAAAAUCAACUAUAGAUACAAAAGAAAUUGUAUUCGCAAGAUUUCAAUUUUUGUUGCAUAUUUUGUUGAAGUAACGCAUGAAUCUCCUCAUUUUUCAAAUGGUAAACAUUUAAUUUGAGUGAAAAAAAAAAAAACAUAAAAGAUAGAGAGAAGAAAAUAUUCAAGAAAAAAAGAAGAAAAUGUGAAUGCAAUGAAAAAGUGAAUGUUAAGACUUAAGAAAAAGAAAUGUGAAAGUUGACCCCGAGUUUGCUACAAAGUAAAAGGUCAAUAAUGUGAAUAUGGAGAAUUAAAGUUUACGGAUUUGUUUGUACAAAAUGCAUAGAUUAAGGACCUCCCGUUUCAAUCUUUCCUUGGUUCAUUCAACAACUAAUGUUGAACGUAGAGGUUUUCACUUUCAAUUAGGGAGAAUUGCAACCACGGUCCUAAGCCUUUUAUUUUGUCGCAGACUUUACCUAAAUAUUUUAUUUUUGACCCACAAUCCUAAAUUUUUGCUUUUUGGUUUUGGGUGGAGUGCGUAUGUGGGUGGACUGAAUGAAGAAGGGGGGAAAAUGUACUUUUUUUUAUUGGUUUUUGAUUUAAAUUAUUUUACUUUAAUUGUUUUAUUAAAAAAAUAUAAAAUUAUCAUUUUAACCUUCUAAAAUUGGUCAAAGUGUAGUCAAUCCAUUGACUUUUGGUCACUUAACAGAGCAAUGGAUACAAUCCAUCUAUCUGUCAUUCUAUUGCAACAAAAUGAAAGGUUUGGGGCUGUGAGUAGCAUAAAUAAAAUAUUUGGAUAAAAUUUGCGAUAAAAUGAAAGAUUUGGGACCAUGACUGCAAUUCUCCCUUUCAAUUAUGUUCCAAUUUUAUCAUAUUUUUUGAAAAUUUAGUUUUCUCCAUAUUUAUUUUCAAUUCAAUAUUUAUGGACCUACAAAUAUUUUUCGAGUUCUGUCAAACAAGGGCUGUGCUGUAAAUCCCGGGCCACAGGGUGGGCGUGUGUAGUUGAACUUGAACAGAACGAGCCGUUCGGAAUAAUGGUCGGAAAUGUCAAACGAAGACAUGUCAACGUCCUUACUGUCUACCUUUCAAUUUACGAAUUUUCGACCAAUCAGCUAAAGUUUUGGCCCCCACCCACAAAUUAUAGUUUGUACACUACCGGCCAAAAGUACGAGUCUUGGAUGCACGUGCUCGAUUUUUAAUUAAUUAGGUCUUUUUGCUUUAUAAUUAACCCUGUUUAAUUCCACUAAAAGAAGUAGAUAAUCGCGCAUUUUAUAAAUUUUACAAUUUUUUAACAACAUAUUUCAUUAACUUUUAAAAUCUACUUUAUUUAAACUAAAAAGGGACUAAUUUUGUUACUCAAAUGUAUAAAAUCUGUUGGAUAUUGGUUAAAUAAAUCGAGAAUUGAAAAUCGAUUAAAGUUCGUAUCGACUUUGGCCAAAUACUCAAAAGCUCGACUCAAUCCGUUUAGGCAAAAUUUUUUGCCACUUCGCCGCUUCGGGGCGCACAAACAGGGAUCGACCUGCCCGGUCAGAUCGCGGGGGUCGAGGGGGCAGCGCCCCCCCGUGGGGAGUCGGGGGCAACGCCCCCGAAAGAGAAUUUUGAUUUCUCUGCAUGUAUUGAAGGGUAUAUUUGGCAUUUCGAAAACCAAUAUCGGAUGAAUGAGAAAUUACGAAAAAGGACGAAAAUCAGUGAACAGACACAUUUUCAUAAAGGUGCAUUGUUUGGAAAGGAUACAUGGUUUGGGCUCAACCAUUAGUGAAUAGACACCUUUUCAUAAAGGUGCAUUGUUUGGAAAGGGUGCAUGGUUUGGCCUCAACCAUUUCGUCCACACCCUUUCAUGGUCUAUAAAUAGGACCCUUUGGGUGUCCUAUUCCUCACAAUUUUGAUAUGCAAAACAUAUCUCAUCCUCUCUUCUAUCCAAAAUCAAAGUCAUCUCGUUUAUUUUGAUUUUUCUUCAUUUCAUUCUUGGAGUACAUAAGCCUAAAUUUGGUUCGUUGUACUUGUGUUUUGGAGCGCUACAAACACAAAUGUAGCCGUUGUAUUUUGGGAGUCGAUUGACGAAAUCCGUAGGCACCGUUGCGGGGCAAAUUCGACUUAAGGGCAAAGAGUCCAACUCUUGCCUCGGCUUUGUCACCAUCAUUAUACUUAUUUCGACGUCACUAUUCACAAAAUUCAUCCAACAAAAUCCUAGUGCGCUCUUGAAAGGUGUAAAUUGUCGGUCGAAAUAUAUUUAUUGUUUUGCUAUAACUUAAAAAGUUGAGAUUAAAGUCCACAAUUUAAUUUAAAUUACAUAUUUUAUGGAAUCCAUAAAUUUUAUCAACUUUUUUAAUUGAAAUUUGAUAAAUUUUUUCUUUUAAUCAAAAACUUUAGUUAAAUUGAUAAAAUCAAACUCUUCUUGUUUUGAGUACUUGAGAAUAAUAGUGUGAUAGCACUAAUUAUGUAAAAUUAGUUAGACUAUUUGUAUUAUCGGUUUGUCUAUAAUGUCACUAAAUAUAUAAGGAUAAGUUUACGUGAACAGAGUUAGAGAGAGAUAUUCUUUAUGUGGGCCAGAAGUCUUUGUCAUAGUAGAGUAGAGUGAUUAAUUAGUCACCACUUUACUACAUUUUGUAUGUAUACAUUGUAUUUACAGAGAAAUUAUUGUUUCGAAUUAGUACUAACUUGUAGCGUUGAGACGAGAAGAAGAUUUAUCACCUAGUAGCCGAUAAGAUGGAUACUAACUCGGUUCAACCCAUAAGCUUAAAUUUCACGAAGUUAAAACUUGUCAACUAAAAAAUGUAAAAGGUUUUGAACCCUUUUUAUUCGGAGAGCUAACUUCAGCUGUCAAAAAGUAUAGAUUAUAUCGAUUCCCAUGACACGUGUCAAACCUCUUUAAAUUUUAACCUUCGAACUUUAUAUGUUUUUCGAUCCUUGUUUAGUUACUAUAUUUGUUAUAUCCCUAGUUAAUUAUGUUGGAUCAUUAUCUUCCAUUAGAGAAUGGAUGUCCCAAUCUUUAAAAUUGGACGGAAAUACGGAUGUGAGAGAGAGAGAGAGAGAGAGAGAGUUGAAAGUGGUAGAAAAAGUGACAAUUAUGUUACUAUUCGUUAAUUAAGAGAAAUAUGAAAGAAAUAAUAAAGAAUAAUUUAAUCUAGCUCUUGUGUUAAUCCAUGUUCUCGCAUUUAAUUAGAUAUAUUAUAAUCUUUCAGUUUUAAUGAUAUCUUAGCAUCACUGGUGAUAAAUAAUAUUACACAUCAAUAAAUUAUAGCGUAAAAUUAACAUCCAAUAAUAAGGGAUAAAUUCAUAAACAACUCUUAAAAAAUUAUCUCCAGCAUAUAGGGGUGUUGAGGAUUAGUCGACUCGCACUCGUCCACUUCAAGAAAGUUGGGCUUGACUGGACCCGACUCUUUAACACGUGAACUUGACAAACUGCAAUGUCGUGCAAUGAUGAUCAAUCUAGUGCGCUAAACUCGUCCAACAUUAUAAUUUUUUUUCUCCACGUUUUCCAAAUAUUUAAUAAGAGACUAUAGUGUGAAGAGUUUUCAUCAUGAAAAAUUAGACCACUGGUCCCGGGGACAAAUUAUAAUUCUAUCAUAGGAAAUGGAAAGUCAUAGAAAAUCUUAUUGGUUGUCUACAUCAGUAGUGGGUGGAUCAAGAAUAAAAUCAUAUAUUUUAGCCUUCUUCGAAAAGUUUGAUGCUUAUUCGAGUCAUUUAUACGCUGUAAAUAAUUUUAGGAUUCGUGCAAUGGCUUUUAUUAGAUGUGUUGUGUAGAACCCCAAAUAAUUCGAGAUACCUUAGUGACAUUAAGACAUGAAUAUUGGAUGACUAAAGUAUACUUCAGAUUUUUAGUCUCAUUUGAGACCCAUUUUCAACAUAGGAAACAUUCGAUUUGGAAAAUGAUAUCUAAAUAAAAGUUGUAGCUCUUUGAGUUGGAUUUUCAACGCACCUUGAAUUACCUCAAUCAGAUAUCGGGAGAAGAAGUUAUGAUAGAAACACUGAAAACUGUGCAGUGUCAACCGGACUACAAUCGAUCGACCGAAAAUUCUUGUUUUUCUCUAGAAUUUAAAUAUUUAUUUUCAUCAAUUAUUUUCUCAAGGGUCACCCACGUUUUUGGCAAUAAAAACCCACUAAAUUGAAGCAUUUAACCUCAAACUUAAAUGACACCUAUGUUUUCUCUCUUAAAUGAAAUUUGACCGUUCAUUUGCUUUAAGUUAUGGGAUAUUUACCUAUAAAUAGAGACCUCAUUUCGCUCAUUUUUCUCACACCAAAAGCAAGAGUUUUUACAUACUAAAAAAAGAGUUUCCAAAAGAGAAAAAGAGAUGGAGGAAAACUAUUUUUUCUAGAAGUUUAAGAAGUGUUUUCAAGCAUCAAUUCUCAACGGUUUUCAAACAUCCAAGGAGUGCAUUUCUUUUAACGUCCAAGUUUCAUCGAAAUUUUGAAUCAAAGUUUUCAAAGUUUCAAAAACAUCAAUCAAGAUAGGUAGAGGUGCAAUGUGUUUAAUCGUGUUAAGUUAUAAGUUUCGAUUCAUGUUAAUAUUUGUAUGUCAAAUGGUACUCCGGUACGGCAUAUUCCUCUAUGUUAAUGGUUGUAUGUCAAAUGGUACUCCGGUACGCCAUACCCCUCUAUGUUGAAGAAAUGUUCGUAUGUCAAAUGGUGCCUGAUAAGUGUAUUUUUGCACACUUAUUUAGAUCACAAACAUAGCUUAAAUACAAGCAAAAUGAUUGAAUUGUGACUUAAUCUCAUUGAAUUCAUACAAUGUAGGUGUUUCUAUGAAAAUAGUGGAAUUCAGGAGAAGAGAGCCCAAAAAGGACUAAAAUGAAUUAAACUGAAAGUUCGGGGACCAAGUUGCAAAUAAUUCAUAGAUGAGACGGGAAAUGGAAUGAAGAUUCAAGAGUGUUAGAAGUCAAUCGGAUGAGGAAAGGAGUCACGAGGUGAAAUAGGGUCGAAGUAUUAUCAAGUAUCAACUUUCAGACGAAAAAGCUAUGCUCGUGAUUUUUAGUAUCUACUUGAAAUCCAUUUUUGACAUAGUAAACAUCAGAAUUUGAGGAAGCCUAUUUCUAACAAAACUGUAGAUCUUUGAGUUUUCUUCACAAUGCACUUUGAAUCACUUCAAUCGGAGAUUAGUAGAGAAAGUUAUGACCAAAAUACUAAAAACUGUCCAGCGGAAAGAAUUGUAUAACUAUGCGGUCGCAUAGUAUAAAUUCUAUGCGGUCGCAUAGAAGCCUCCCGAGAACUUUUUCUCAAAUUUUUUUACUCUAUGCGACAGCAUAGAAAUGUACUAUGCGGUCGCAUAGGUAUAAUCUGGGGGCCGUUUUGCAGUUUCCUUAUACGAUUGAAACUCCUUUGGU
rnacentral:lncRNA from 1 species